UAAUUUCUAUUUCAGUGUAUACAUUUAAUUGAAUUUGUAUUCCACAAGUUUUGAUGUCAAAAUAUUUUAAGUAACAUUUAAUGAAAAUAUUUUCUUCACACGCUAGGCAUGUGAAAUAAUUAAAAAAAAAAAAAAAAAAACUAGAAAGGUAAAGUUAUAACAAAAGCAUUAACGAUAUAUAAACGAUAAUCAAAACUAACACAAGUAAUCAAUAGUAUCAAGAAACGAACAAAACAAAAAUAAAGGAGACGUUUCUUCCUUUAGCUAUGUUUAAGCUUGAAAUAGAACAAAACACGUAGAAUUGUAUAAAAGAAACCAAUCAACUUUGAAGAUAUCUUAAACUCCAUAUAUAAUGUUUAGUUUAAGAAAGGAAAGAGGAAUUAACAAUUACCCAUAACUUUGAAGAUAUAUCAUAAAAACGCAUUAUGAGAUGACAUGAGUUAGUAUGUAUGCCAUAGCCCACGAAACUCGGUGUCGGUGGCUUUCAAACCCCAUGCAUGCGUGCGUGUGCAUUGGAUAAUUUGAAAGUUUUUGGUUGUUUGUUAUAGAGAGUUCUCUAGUAGAUAUAUAUUAUUAUGUUUCAUUUUUGAAGAAAUGUUGUGUAGUGUAUUAUUAAUUGGGACCCUUGUUACUUUCUAUAAUAUCUUUUUUUUUAUUUUCCAAGCAAUAUGUAUAUAGAUAGUUUCAUACGGGGAGCUGGAGCCUGGAAGGAACUCAUGGUGGUGAGUGACACAUGCAUUGGCAAAAACUACAUUUAGAGGCUUAGAGCACUGCAAGUUUUAGUCUGAAACUUGUAAUCGUUUUACGUCGGCAGAGAAAUUAAGAAAUUAUUGGAUGGUUUAUUUCCGUGAUGCUUAGUGAGAUUGGAAAGGCUUCUUCUUCUAGAGUGUUUCUAAAAUUCUAUUGCUUUUGACUUUUUGAGUAAUUCGACUUCCCCUUAUCAUAUGGGAAGAGCACUUAUCAACUCGAUAUGGGCUUUUAAGGCCCAUGAGAAGAAGUUUAAAAGACUCUGACUUAAUAAGAUUUAGUUUUACUCAAGGCCUCUAGAUGUAGACCGUCGGAUUUAUUAUGCUUCUUCUCCCCUUGGAUCUCGUAGGGUUCUUGUAGUGAGCUACUCUGCUAAUCAGGGUUUUAGCGUCUCUAGCAUUUUCUUCUUUCUGCUCAUCCCCAAAAAAAUCCACACCGCCGUUCCUCUGUGCUUCGCCGAUUAAUUACUCCCAGGUAGACCAAUUGUACAAAGAUUGAUUAAUCCUAGUUUUGUUUUUUUUUCCAGUAGAUUGUAUAAGAUUUUUGAUUAUUCAGGAUUUAAUCUGUGUUAGUUGAAGAAUAAAACCCUGAUUUCGCAUAAUUUGCAUAUCCUCAGAUGAGGCAGCUCAAGCCCCACGAGAAGAAGCUUGCGAAGAAAGUAAAUUUCUUAGAAUGGAAACGAGAAAGUGGGCAUCGGGAGAACUUGAUUACCUAUCGAUACCAUAUGGGCUCUCGUGACGAUUACAAAAAGUUGCUACCUUUCUCAAUGCUCUGUUCUGCUUAUUCUUCUUUUUGUUUCAGUGUUUUGUGAUGAACAAUGGGGUUUUUUCUGAUUACUGAAGAGUCUGGUUUCUUUCCUUUUUGGCAGAUAUUCAGGACUGUGUAGGAUAGUGCAGAAACUGACGAGUAUAGUGAAACAGAUGGAUCCGGCUGAUCCUUUUCGGAUUCAGAUGACUGAUAUGCUUUUGGAGAAGCUGUGAGUUUUUAUUUACUAGUGUCUACAUUUGUAGAGCUUAUUACAAGCAAUGGCUCUUUCUUUGUUUUCUCUUGAUUUUAGGUCUUUGAACCAAACCAAUUUUUGCAGCUUUUACACCGAUCUCAGCUAUUGUCUUUCUUGUAAUGUUGCUCCUAGAGGUCAUGUUAGAGACCUCUGGUGGUUUUUCUUGUUAACUACCUUAUAGACGAAUGCAUUUGGGGUUCUUACUUCAUAACUAUCUGUAUAGAUUUCAGGACUGUUGGUUUGCAAUUUCGUAUAAGGUUGAAGGUCAUCCUUGGAAAAUGUUUGAUUAAUGGUUUACGCUUGUUAACUAUACACUGUUGAGUCUAACGAAAUCGGUUUCUUUAUUAAUUUCAAUUCAGAGCUAACACUGUGCAUAUCCCCUGAACUACACAUUUAAAUAUAGGAAAGUAUAGCAUUUCUACUUAAUCAUGUUGAUAGCCUGUUUUUCUCCAUUAUGCGAUUAGAAAGCUUGUUUUCUUAAUGGCUGAAUUUUAUCUUUUUUUUUCCAUGUAUGUUGUAAUGGCAGAUAUAACAUGGGUGUUAUACCUACUAGGAAAAGCUUGGCUUUAACUGAUAAGUUAUCAGUUUCAUCCUUUUGUAGGUAAAGAGUUCAUGCGAUAUCCUAUAUAGGCAGUUACUUUAGUCAAUGAUCUCAUUUCCUUGGCCUCAUGUCAUGUUCUUCUUUUCUUUAAUAAUUUGCAGGCGUAGGCUGUCGACGGUGCUGGUUCACCUGAAGUUUGCAGAGCACCACAAAGAAGCUGUGACAUACAUAGAGCAAGGACACAUUCGUGUUGGCCCAGACACAAUUACUGAUCCAGCUUUCUUAGUAACUAGGAACAUGGAAGAUUUCAUCACCUGGGUUGAUUCAUCCAAGAUUAAACGAAAGGUGCUUCAGUACAAUGACAAAUUGGAUGAUUAUGACAUGAUUGCUUGACUCUGAGGAAGUGAAGCCAAGUAAGGUUCAGUGCUACUAUUGCUGCAGGGUUUGGGUUUUUGGUUUAUGUUUUUUAGAAUGUGGUUGAAUGUGCUACUAUGCCUUGGGUUUUUUUUUUUCUUUUGUAUGUUUACUUUCAAAAAAAAAUCCCAUUAUAUAUAUUUUUUCUCACUUUUCCAUAUAUUUGCAAAGGUAAAUUUCCAUAUAAUAUCACAAAAAAAUAUUGAAUUGAAUCUUAUUUCUGUGAUAUAGUAUCACAGGACAUAAUAUUGAAUUUGAUAUAAUUAUUGUUUGACCCAUUAAAAAAUACAAUUGUUUUUAAACUGAAAAUACACUUAAAAAUUCAGAGAGACCCGUUUGAUACGACCCGACCAGAAUAACCCGAAUCGACCAGAAAAGGUUGUCAAAAACUAAAACCUGUGUGUUUUGCGUUCUCCGUCUCUCGCUCGCUUAGAAGCUUCAAAUACAGCUGAAAUGGCGGUUCAAUCAAAUCAGAGUGCAUCUUUUGGGAUCGGAAUAGGUUCACUUUCUCAAAAGUUCUCCUCAAAACCUGUAUCUCAUAUCUCUCUAUCGACGAAGCUUAAUCUGUCCUGUCUACCAUCGAUUUCGUGCUCAACUUGGAACCCUGGUCAAAUCCCGGCGAGACUCUCCGGCAUCAGUCCCGGAAUAUUCGCUUCUUCCUCCAAUUCCACAUUUUCUUAUGAACCGCCAGAAUCUGAGUCUCCGUCACUUGGAAAGGUCAGUCAUCGUCAAACACUUUUUGUUUAAACAAAUUGGGGUUUUAGCUAGUUAGUCAAAGUUGCAGCCUUUAUGUCACUUUGGAACGGAAAAUGUGGUUAAGCAAGUUGUUCCAUUGAAACCAUGUCUAAACACAUCUACAUCUGUUAUAUAUAAGCUCCCUUAUGUUGCAUCAUUUCUGAUUCAGGAACACUACUAAACAAAUUGAGAUGUAUGGUUUCAAUGCAAGCAUAGUUUCAUUCAUUCUGCUUCAUAUCCAGAACCCUAAACUGAAGUUUUUUUUUGUCUUUAUCCAUUUGAUUACUCGUUCCCCCCCUGUGGGCUAGUGAAACCUAACUAAUGUUGCUUGAUUCUGGAAACCUUUUGUGGAAGAAAGUUGAGGGAACGCUCAGUUUCGUUUUUCUUAUUUUUGCACUAAAACCAGGAGGUUAUUGAUUGUCUCAAUUGCAGAAGAAGAUGCGUGUGCUAGUGAAGCCGCUGGAGAAACCAAAGGUGGUACUAAAGUUUGUGUGGAUGCAAAAGGACAUAGGAGUUGCAUUAGACCAUAUAAUUCCAGGAUUUGGAACGAUCCCACUUAGUCCAUACUACUUCUGGCCUAGGAAAGAUGCUUGGGAAGAGCUCAAAGCUUUGUUAGAGAGCAAGCCUUGGAUCUCUGAGCUACACCGCGUCUUCCUCCUUAACCAAGCUACAGACAUCAUCAAUCUAUGGCAAUCAAGCGGUGGAGAUUUGUCUUGAUCAGAUUCACAUUCAUACCAGUCACUAGAGAUGUCAAUGGAAGAAACUCACCCAAGCUAUUUAUCAUAGGUAUUAGCUUUUGUGUUGUUCAGUGUAUCAUACAUUAGUCCCUUGUGCUGCCUAAUUCUGUUCAAAUGAAUCAUCGAAACUCUGAAAAGAUCACGUCUUGAUGGAUGUAAUGUUCAAAGAUGUGAAAAUGUAGCAACUCAGCAGUUUAUCAUUGUCUACUCUAUGCAAACGCUCGUGUUUGUGUCAUUUCGUGUGUAGGAACAUUAAAAUGACGAAACUUCUCUCAUUUUCAUAGUAGAAAUAGCGAAUUCAGAAUAUAAACUGUGAGAAGCUUUGUAGAUUGUGCAGAAUCAGAACCAUAGAUAAGUAAAACUGAACAAACCUCAAGAUUCUUCUACAAGACAAAAAAAAAAGAAACAUGAAACUUUCAAGUAAAGUACUUAGACAUCUGAAUAGCUUUAUUGCUCAACCCACAUUUCUCAUAGAAGGCUUUGUUAUCCACACUACAAUCAAGAAUCACCUUGUAGCAACCCAUCGAUUUGCAAUGAUCCAUGAGAAACUCCACCACUUUCUUGCCCAGCUGUUUCCCGCGAAACCUCGAGUCCACAACAACGUCCUCGAUGUGUCCAGCUUUACCGCAGUUUCUCAGAAACUUCUUCUCUAUCACAACGCUUCCCGUAGCUGCGAUUCUCCCCAACGCCUCAUCUUCGAUCACGCAGAUCACGUGGUCGUCUCCGUACGAACUGAUUUCUUCGAAUCGCCUAUCGAAUUCUUCGUCAGUCACUGAUCCGGUGACGCUGAGUUGACCUAGAAGCUCUAUGAAUCCUUUUCUCUUAUCGGAGAUCUCAAGUCGCCGGAUCUUGAAUGUCUCCGCCAUCGAUCAGAUCGGAUAAUUUUGAUUGAGUUUUUUUUUUUCCUGAUAAGAUUCGCUCACUGGAACUGAAAAUAUUAUAACCCACAAAUGUAUAAAGAAAACGUAAUAAAUUACGAAAUAAUGCUUAAGCUUUUAGAUAAUUACAAAAGUUGCUAAAAUCUCUGGAUCUGUUCAAUAUAGGCCACUUUUUUAAAAAUAAAUUUUCUCUGAUAUGUUAUUUUUCUUUUCCCGGUUUUUUUUUUUUUUUUUGUAGUUGAGGAUUUAAAGAAAAGCAGCAAAUGUUCGGUAACAAUAUUUAUUGAAAUUACAAAGCAACAAGUGAAAAUGUAGAAGAGAACACACAAAAAAAUGAAACAGGAUGAUACAUAUAGAUUACAUAAUUGGGAUAUGUGAGGAAAGGAUUGUUGAAUUUAGGGUUGAUGGAGACUAGAUAAGGAAGAUGAAGCUGGAGGGAUUCCAGGGAUAAGAGGGACCGGAGGGAGCGGAAUAGGGAGAGAAGGUGGCGGCAUAGGUAGCGAAGGCGGAUUUACGACUGGAACAGGAGGAAGAACCGGAAGAGGUGGAAGAGGUGGAAGAGUUGGAAUUGUUGGAACCGGUGGGAGAGUUGGUGUUGCCGGGGGAGAAGGAAGUAGCGGAAUCGGUGGUAGAGUUGGUGUUGCUGGAGGAGAGGGAAGUAGGGGAAUUGGAGGGAGAGUUGGGGGAGACGGGAUCAACGGGUUUGGAGGAAGAGUUGGGGUUGGGAUAGAAGGGAUCAGAGGGUUUGGAGGGAUGACGGAUGGCGGGUUUAGCGGGUUUGGAGGAAGGAAGAAGAAAUCGGGUUUUAGCACUUCGGUUUUCUUGUCUUCCAAGGAACCAUAUUUCUUGUUAUGCAAGGAAGCUGAUUUCCGUGAUCCUGAUGUUCCUGGAGGAAGAAGAGGAGGAAUUGUAGGAAGAGGCAAGUCCGGAAGCGGAGGUACGAUUGGGAGAUUUGGGAUAGCGGAAGGAGUAGGCGGAUCUUGGAUCGGUGGAGGGAAUGAGGGAUCCGGUAAAAGAGGCUUGGUGGUUUGGCCGAGGUUGACUUGUUUUUGGCUACAAAUCUCUGGUUGGUUUUCGGGUUUGAAAGUGAAGAAUCCUGCGGAGAAGACCCUAGUGUUCUCUCCAUGGUGGUUUGAUCUAAGGCGUUUGAAAGAAGAAGAUGUCGCCGAAGAAGCUAUGGAACAGUAAGGCUGUGAGCUACUUAGCAACUUCACAGAGCAUCUCUUGAUCUUCUUCACAUGUUUGCUCACAGAGAAAGGUAGCUUCACUUUGAAUUCACCGCGCGCAUCUGUUUUCACUUCUUGUCUGAAACUCGGUUUCGAGUUCUCGUCAAUGCAUUCCACUGCAACUAAAGCACCUGCAACAAGAUCCAGACAACUGUUCAUAAUUCGUUCUAAGAUUCUAGACCCACAAACAAGAAAGCUCAUGUAUUGAUCCACUUAAACGAUAUUAACCAGGUUUUGUACUAAUCUAAUAAUCGGCAUAAACCAGACUUUAACCUGUCGUAAUCUUGAACCAUAACUGCUCAAACUAAAUCAUGUUUUGGUAAAACAGAGAGCUCUGUUCUAGAUUCCAAGAACCAAAUAUAUUUGGAUAAAAAACGAGCAAGAAAAAACGAAAAGCAGACCUGGGAUUAAGUGGUUGGGUGACUUUGAAAAGGCGCCGUUAAAACAAGUGUCACAGUAGACAGUUCCGACUACAACUGCAGAAGAACGUGUCUUCUUCACAACAUGUUGUUGUCUUUGAGACAAACCUCCAGUACUAAAGAUGCCUAGGAAAAACAUAAGACUAAACCAAACCCAUAAGGUGGUUGUUCUCUCCAUAGCUAACUAUCGACUCUCUGAGUGUGCGUGUCUUAUGAAAAAGAGGGUUAUCGAGGAAAGAGGGAUAUAUAUAGGAUUGUUGGUGUGAAGAUGAGUGAGCCACGAAAAACGAAGAGAUUGUAAAAGAAAGCUUAUCUCUUUCUAUUUUUUUGUUCUAUGUUAAUGUGAAUCAUGGGAAAAAUACAAACUCUAACUACAAAAGCUAGCUACUAUAUUGUCUUGUGACUCUAUCCUUCUACAGCUCAGAUGCUGAAUUAUUGUAAAAAAUAGUAAGAGGUGAGAAAAAAGACAACAAUUAUAAUUUUGGAUUCACGUAGACGUGUCCAUUAAAUAGUAUUGAUCGUUACACGGUAAAAACACGUUCGAAUUAUAAAAAAAAAAAAAAAAAAACCAAAGCAAAAUCUGUUAUCAUUGUUUCUUGAAUUGCGGGGUUGCUAAAACUACUAUUCUCUUGAUAUCUUUCCUCCUUUAACAUAUGAACUGUAGAUAUGAAGUUAUGUUUCAUGCUAAAGGUUGAAGAACACAUUUGAGAUAUUUUGAGUUCGAAAAUAUGUUUUUUUCUUCAUCUUUCCCUUAUGUACAUUUUGGAUUUUUGAAUGAGCUAAAACAUGACUUAAUUUUUCAUUUUCCAAACUUGGAAUCCAUGUGUGUCAUGUUUUGAUGUUUUAUGUAUUGUCUACAUCCAUGUUUUCAAAGAACUGAAAUUUACAAUAAUUAUUUCUAAAAUAUUGUAUAUAUAUUUUAACCAAAACUAAUCUUGGCAACUUAUAUCUACCUUACAAUCUACUAAAGACACUCCAAAACCAAUAAGUACUUUUUUGUUGAACCAUUGGAAUUUUGGAAGAGUAGUAUAUAUAUUCCCACAGAUGAUUUUAAAAAACAAUUGGGUUUAGAUUUGGAGAAACAUAUAAGCCAAUGCGAGUAAAGUUGAUAACUAGACUUAGCAGAGUAAAUAAUUUUUCUGUAACAGAGGAAACAUUACAUGAAAAUUACGAAAGUGAAGGCAUAUGGGAAUGAGAAUGGGGAAGCGAAUACGGUUGGAGAGUCUCUGUCGAUUCACGAGACACUAAGGAUGUCCACACAACCAUAUAUACCCAAUUCUUACUUCUGUCUUCUUGUAUAUCAUAUAUGUAUACAAAAUCAUUAUUGUUGAUAAAGGACAAAGUAAAUAGAUAAUUUGAAGAUGCGAAUGUUUUUUCAUUUUGAUAAAGAAGGAAUUGUGAAUGUUCUUCUUUUUAACCUUUUUCUAUUUUGUUUUUUUCUGUUUAGUUUGUGUUAUAUUAACAGGAUGUCAUAUAUGCUAAAAAGAUCACCCACUCACGAGAAUGAAACAAACUCUCUACUCUUAUUAGAAUUUUGAAACCGACGACAGAAAAAACAACAAACGAAAUAUUAUGCUAACAUUAUAGAUCGACCAAUGGGUAUUUCUUAAAUUUAUCAAAAACAAAUAUACAAAUUUAGAUGACUACAAAGUUUCUAUAGAUACAUACAGUUGACUAUAGGUGCUCAAAAAAAAAAAAAAAAUUGAAUAUCAUCAAUAUGUAUAUUGGCUGAAUUGGGUUUUAAAUUUGGUCUUGCCCAUAUCUUGAUAUAUGGGCUGAUCUGAACAACAAAAGAGCCCACAUACACAUAGGUAAGUUUAGAUGGUUCAUAUUCAUAAGUUCAUAGUAGUAAUAAUAAAUCUAAAAAUAAUUUUGAAAAGAGAAGCAAUAGUUUUGGUUGAUUAUUGAAUAGAGAGACUCUCAAUUCAACUCAACUCAACUCAAGUCUGAAGCCAUUGGUGUCGAGCAACAACGCCCACCCACCUUCACACCAACUUCAUCACACGACUCCUCUUCCUUCCCCCAUCACUUUUUCUUCCUUCUCUCUGAGUGGAUUUAAUAAAAACAAAAUAGAAAGAAGAUUAAAGUACUUGUUCACUUUCCUUGGGAAUCUGCUAAUAAAAAGCAAAUUAAGUUCCUUUCUUUCCUUUUUCUCUCUUAACUGAAAAUUUCGUCGGUUCUUUGUCUCAAUCUCUUUCCUUUUUCCGUCGAGUCCGAUCAAAAAAAAUCGAAAACCCAUUUUGUUCUUCGAUGAAAGGUAUAGCCUUUGCUCCGAUUCGUCUGAUUUUAUUUCUUCUGAAAAAUAUGUUCUUGUGUAAAACAAGCAACUGGAUGAUGGUUUCUGAUCGACUCUGAUCAGAACUAUCACAAAAAUAUUGUUUUUAUUGGUGUCUGGUCAAAUGUCUCUGCCUUGACUCUAUUUUUUUUUUAUUUUUAUUAUAUGGUUUCUCUGUUAUUAUUGCGUUUGUUUGGGGUUUACCUGAAUUAGGAUUCACCUUUGAGUGGGUUAAUUGCUUGCAUUUCACUUUCACCAGUUUUGCCAUAUGGAGCCUUCUGUUUUUUUUUUGACCAAAACACACAAAUUAAUUUUUACUGAGUUUGGUGAAUCGUUUGACUGAUGUCUCUUGCUGGGAAUCUCUCUACAAUUGUUCAAUGCUGAAAAGCUCAUUAGAACAGAUCAUUCUACAGGCGAACUUUGAGGGAGUGAAGUAGAUUGCUGCUGUAGCCUCUCUCAUUUGGCCUCCUAAAAGUUUCAAACCGGGUGUUGUGAUUUUGGUAAAUCUUUGUGAAAUUUUUCAAAGCAAUUUGUUUCCUCUCAAGUUUUAAAGUUAAAGAAUCAUCAUAUUGGAAUUAACAUUUCAAGAAAUCAAGAGAAGAAGGAGAUGGGCUGUGUUUCUUCUUGUUUUCGUGUCGACGACUUUGAGGAUCACCCGAAUCCAACUAGUUCAUGCCCGAGAUGUCUUGUUAAUAGCUUACUUAACCUGGUAAUGUUCUCUUCCCACUGUUUUACUUUUCACCCGCUAGUUAUAUACAAAGCAGAGCUCAUUGAAGCUUUGUGUUUGAUCUCUCUUUGCAGUAUAUCUCGUUGUUCAGAAGAGGCGAAACCCGCUCUCUCCCAUCCUCCUUACAGGCUACUAAUGUAUCUCUAGCUUCAUCUACUUCUUAUGAUAACUUUAUGUCUAAUACAUUCCAUUCUACUCCAAGGCCUCUGCCUUAUGAUGCUGAUCCAAGAUGCUUCCGGUCAAGGCGUGAUUCGCUUGUCUCUAGACGCGAUAAGGGUUCAAGUCAUUCUCAUGAGGAAACUGAGCCCUUGAGAAGUGAUUCUGAUGUGGAUUCUGAGUCUUUCUCAGUGGAAAGAAGCAAAUGGGCUAAUAAGCUUAUUAUCUCUGGUGAAGAUUCCAGAGAAGAGUUCUCUAAAUCCACUCGAAGGAUUCUUAAGUCAAAGACAAUGUCUACUGGUGGUGAUGACGGCCUGUAUAUAACAUCUGAUGAUGAAGAUGUCUGUCCAACGUGUCUUGAAGGUAGUCAUUUUCAUCUCUCUUCUUACUUCUAUCAAUGCCAUUCGAAGGAAGCUUAGUAUCAGCUUUUCUUUUUGGAUCUUUUGUUUCAGAAUAUACAUCAGAGAACCCAAAGAUUGUUACAAACUGUUCUCACCACUUCCACCUCAGUUGCAUUUAUGAAUGGAUGGAGAGAAGUGAAAACUGUCCUGUUUGUGGAAAGGUAACACUUUUUCAUGUUCUUCCAAGCCAUUUUUUGGCAUUCACAUGUUGAUAAAAGAAUAAUCUUUCUCUGCUUUGAAUUCGUCUCAUUUGCAGGUGAUGGAGUUCAACGAAACACCGUAACUUGUUACCAUUGAUCCUGUCUUCUACUGCCUAAACCGAAAGUGAGGAGAUUGACAAGGCAGCAGACAGAUUUGCAAAUUGAUUUGAUCUGUGAAUAUUUUUAAUUUACAAUAUAUGGUAUAUAUGGAAAUGAGGAAUGUCUCUGCACAUUUGGCUAAUGGAGUUCUGAGGAAAACCCUCUUGAGAGAAAACAGCAGCAGCAACAAAACACAUGCACACAGGAGUCUGGCAUGUUUCUCAAGAUGUGCCUAUGGGGCAGUGUUUUGUUUAUGGCUUGAAAUUUUUCACAUCAUUUUGUAUGAACUACAUAACCCUUUUAUUAAUAGCAUAUAUGUGAUGAUUAUUAUUUUGGCAUAGAUGUUUAAUUAUUGUGGGACAAGAAGAGAUCCCAGUGUCACCCAAACUUUUUCUCAUUACAUGACAAUAAACCGGUCUAAUGGUUCAGUGUCAAAACAACUUCCACACAUUUCAAUCCUUAAUAAUAUAAGCAAGAUCCUCUGGACCAUAAUAUAUAGCCACGUACUUAUUAUGUCUACAAAUCAAAGUCUUUUGUCUAUACUUUUUUUUUAUAUAUAUAAAAAGGUUUUUGUUGGUGAGCUUGAUCACAGAAGAUGGCUCUCAAAGCAUCCACCCUGGGAUGUAACCAUUUCCCGGCUGUGCCUGAGCUUGUGUUGUUGUUGCAGUUAUUUGCUCUGAGCAUACUGUAUUGUCAUACCUGUCACCAUAACAUUUUCAAUAAACUUAAAAGGUUCUCAAAGGGUGAUGAUCCUAUAUCGACCAAGCAACUAAAACCUUUAAACUGCAAAGACAAUCUAAGUUGUGAUUUGCAUAUGGUUUUUUCAAGGCAAAGGAUUUACCCGAUUUGUAGAGUUGGAUUGCAUUCAAGAGGCUGGUAUAGUCCCUGAGAUUGAACUUGAUGGUGCGCAUAGGUAACAUUCUGUUCACCCCCAUCCCAUCCUCCCCCUCCUCCUCCCAUAUGAUGAUGAGUUCUCACACCAAUCAUGUCAUCCAGCUAAACAAUUACAUUUCACCAAAUUAAAGACAAUAAUUCAAAUAAGAGAAAUUAAAACUAGAGAUGAUUCCAAAAUGUUUAGAAACUUUAAAACCUGUGAAAGAGAUUGAUAGCAGUCAUCGAAUGCAUUUAAUGUGUAUAUGAGAUUCUAAUAUAAUGCAUACCUUCAUUGCCAAAGCUCUAUUGGUCUCAAGCAGCAUUUGCUCUUUAUUUUGAAGAUCAGAGAGCUGAUCAAGCAUGUACUGUGUCUGCAAACACUCAUGAUCAUACCACCAUAUGUAGAAGUUAUAAUUAAUAAACAGCUAGCGUAUUUUCACACAUUAGUUAAUCUCACUUGAAUCCUUACUUCUACAUAGCUUUAGUUAGCUAACCUUGAUGGACCGAACUUGCUUGAGAGAGCCGUCAAGUUGACGUUCAAGCUGUUCUAGCUCCUUUGAAUUAAGAGGUCCUAAAUCCUCCCCAAGAAGAUUUCUGCACCAAACAAAAGAUCCAUAUCAUAUACAUAUAUCAAUAUGAAUAUGUAAUGUACAUGUAUAAUUAUAUAUAUAAAUGUAGAGAGAGAAAUAGAUAAAUAUAUACCUCUGUUGACGCUGAAGGUUCUCAUAUCUACCCUUAAGCUUCAGAUACUCUCUGUAGCUGUUCUGAAAUUUCAAGAAAAAAACAGACUUUUUAAAAGGAUAUCUUUCUUGCAAUGUUAUGAUAGGAAUCGAAAAAUAUUAUCUGAAUUGAAGAAACACCUCUAGUUCUUUGGCAGGUUUGUUGUUGACUUCAAUAGAGCCAUAGCUGCAUUUCUGGUACCGAUCCAAUGUCUUGAGCAUGCUGAAAGAAAACUCACAAGCAUGAUAAGAAGCUAAUCGAAAAAAUCAUACUUGACUUAGUAGAUAAACCUUACAUGACCAUAAUCAAGAGCUAGCUCUCCAAGUAUAUAUUUUCUUUCAAAACUGAAGAUUAUUUCUACUACGUACUCAUCUAAAGCAUACUUGGGAUUUGUUUAAUUUGUUCCAAGGGUUAAGUUUUGCGUUUGUGUUUACUAAUCAAGAAUAUUAUUUGCAAGCAAUCUCUUAUACAUUUUUCAUUUGAGUUGAUUCACAAAUGCAAAUAAUACUUUUUGUUAAAAUUAAGGAAAUCAAUUUUAUAUCCUCUUGAAUGAAAUUAACUGAACUAAUUAAUCUAACAUAUAAACAUCUAAGCAACAAAAGUUUAAAAAAUAAAUAUUAAAGCCUUCAUAGAUAUACACACGUUUAAAGUUUUAACCACCAUAAAGUAUGAUGAACUAACAAAUGGUUAAUGCAUGGAACCAUAUAUUAUCAUUCUACGUUGGGUACUAAUUAUUUUCAUAGAAAUCUGUGAAUCCAUCUUUUUUUUUUUAAGUUUCCAAUCAGACAGACAUAUAUAUAUAUUAAUUAAUAUAAAACUUUUCAGAUUGCAUAUCUGGAUUUGGAUUUACCUUCAAAUCCAUCUUCAAUUAUACAUAUAUACCUCUUUUUUUUUUAAAUAUCAUAUAACAUAACUUGUAGCAAACUGAAAUCAGUUCUUUAAUAUCAAGAACUCAAGAAACCUAGAAAUUGAAAUCAGAUCUUUAAUAUCAAGAAGUCAAGAAAACCUAGAAACUGAAAUCAAGAAACCUGAUUAAACUCAAGAUCACGACGUUCUAGUAAUCAAGAUCGGGUGAUCUAGAUAUCUAGUCCCAAAACAGGUCCUUGAGACAAAGAUCUAUGCUCAGAUCUAGCAAAACCCCAAUUUAUUUUAUGAAAAAAAAAACUGAAAAAUGAAGAAGAGAGGGAGAGAGCUGAGUGAAUUACUUGGGGGAGCUGCAAAACUCAUAGAGCUUUCCACGGUUGGAGAAGAUGAUGAGAGCAACCUCAGCAUCGCAAAGAACAGACAAUUCAUAAGCUUUCUUCAACAAACCGUUCCUACGCUUUGCAAACGUUACUUGUCUGUUGAUUUUGUUCUCUAUCCUCUUCAGCUCUACUCUUCCUCUUCCCAUUUCUUUUUUCUUUUGUUACCCUUAUUUCCACUUUUAUAUAUGUACGUACACACACACAAAAUAUGGGUAUGUAAUGUUUAUCUAUAUACAGACACACAAAAACCUGAGUUGGGUAUCUCUAUUUCUGAGGAAAGAUCUGAUCUUUUGAGUAUUUAAAGGUCUCUGGAGAAUUUGAUGGAAAGGGGAUAGGAAAGUAACCCUAAUUUCAAGAACAAGGGUACUACUAGCUAGCUUAAGGAAGAAGAAGAAGAAGAAGAAGAAAAAGAGGAAAGAUUAAUUUGCUUUUACUGGUUUUGAUUGUUAGGGUUCUUGAUUUAUAUUAUAUUUGUCUCUCUCUUUUGUGUGUUUGGAAGUGUGUGGAGGUUGUGCAAUCUUAAUGAAAUUUAUUAUUUUUGUAUGAAUGGAAUCUAUUCGAUGAGAGCAAAAGAUAAGAAAUCUGUGAGGGGUGAGGUUAGGGUUUGGUGUGUUUUUCAUUUCUAGCCAUCUCUCUCUAGCUACUACUUCUCCUUCAUUCCCACGCUCUCUCUAAGCACGUGUGCUACACAGUUACCAUUCUACAUUUGUAUUUUAUUUAAGAUUAAUAAAUUUUAUACAGUUCGUAUUACUUUAUAUCUUUCUUACAGAGUUAUAAUAACGUAACUAUUAGCCGGUCAAUAUAUAACAGUGGAUUCGUAAUAUAUUCAUCAACUUAUAUGAAAUAUAUUGGAACGUAUAUAAUUAUCUGUGUGUUUCUCUCCUCAGGUUGAAUAAUGUUUGUGUAUAUAUGGUGUUUACUAUUUUAGGCAUAUAACUGCCUGAUAUUAUGCAAAUGAUUAAAAACAUGUUUAUUUCUUCGAGAUUCUAUGUUUAUAUCAGAAUAGCAAAUUAUUUAUGUUUAGUUGUUGUAUAUAAUGCAACAAUGACGAUCAUUGCUUAUUAAAAUAAAAAAAUCAUGCACGUUUGAUGGUUGACCGGUAACUAAACAUAUGAGGCCCAAAGCUGAUCAUGGUUAACAUGUGCAUAUAUGUAUAUACGGUCUUGAAGCUAUCACAUUUAAAAAGUCAAUUUAACCGAUAUUAAGAAAGUUUGUAGUAUUAUUAUAUACACACACCUCGUACUGGAUGUAAAUGGGUACAUUAAAAUAAAAGUACACUCUUACGUGUGUAUGUAUAUGGGUGAAUACAUAUUUGGGAAAUAACAUAGAUUUUUCAUAUGUACUUAAAAUUUCAUUUUUCAUCGUCAUAGCGUGUUAUUUUGUUACUUAAUAAGCAAUAUAUAUUUUGUUUUCCCAAAAGAAAGAAUGCGCAAUAUAUUUCAACAUAAACCUGCCAUAGAACUUGUUUACACUUGUUGAUUUAGUAAAAAGUAAAUACAAAGUACAAUUUAAUAGACCAAUCUAAGAAAGGUUUUUUUUUUUUUUGAAAAUCUAACUUUGAAAUCGGUAAAGAAAGGUUUUUUUUUUUUUUUUUGUCGACCAUUCGUUUUUAUAACGAAAGCCCAAAAUGGGCAGAGUACAAAAGCAUGAUACAAAGCCUUAUUUAAGCCCAAAUUAAAAUGAACCCACAUACUAUAACAUUGACACGUAACACCAACGUGUAUGAAGCAAAAGCAAGAGGGCCCACUUCUUGUUUCUUCUCAAUUCUUCUCACCGACUUAGAUCUGAGACUGUACUCCGAUUUUUACGCCGACGACGAACGUAGCAACAGAUGAAGGCUUGAAAUCACGCUUCUGGGACCAUCUUUCUACAAAAUUUAACCGCUGCAAGAAUUGGAUCAACCUUAGGAAAUGUCAAACUCAAUCCAAACUCCAAGAAGAAGCUCCGCCUAAAACCUAGAUAAGGUCUUCUUCAAUCCUUAACGAUGAAGAUAUAACGGCGAAUAUAUUACUCUAUCUUUGAAGGAGAAUCAAGUUGAUGGCUAAUCCAAUAAAAACAAACGGGAUUCGAUAUAUUUCUUUGUAGAAAGAGGCAAGAACAAAAAACAUAGAUUUUCUAUCUUAGUCAAUAAACUAAACAAGAUAAACAUUAUUUAAAACUGACUAAGAAGAACAAAAGAUCCGAACCAAGUCGGAAAUCUAUAAAACAAAACUAAAAUUUUCCGGUUAACCGGAAAUCGCCUUCUCUCUCUCUAAAAGAUGAACUGUGUGUUAAGAGAGAGAAGUUCUCUGUAAAGAAAGGUUUUACUUUCACAUAAGGUGAAACAUAAAUGUGCAAGUUGUAGACUUGUAGUGUUGGUAAAAAUAUGAAGCGCGUGAGAUGAUAUGUAUUGUGAAUAUAGCUUGGACUAGGAUAGCAAUUUAAACGUUAUAUAUAUAUUGAUACAAAAUAAAAAUGAAAGCAACGUAUCGUAUCAUUUUCCUAGUUGUUUUCAGAAGCCGCGGAAAAGCAUCUCCUACAUUAAAAUGGAUUUCCACGUGUCUGUAUCUUAUUGGAGUUUACUUUUUUCUAAUAUAAAGUUUUAGAAAUGAGAAACUUGUAUGUCAAGAUCGAGUUAUCCAUGCAUGUUUGCCCUUAAUCAUAUUUGUAGGAAACAUAAACUACAGCUAUUUUGUGUAUGCAAUAUAUAUAUAUAUAUAUAUAUAUAUAAUACACAGUUUAGCUAUGUAAAAUAACAAAGAAACAGUAUAAUUUAGAUCUACAUAGAUUGAUUUGUCCCCCUUCGUGUAAGCUACAAUUAAUAUGGCGGAUAUCUACAUAGAUAAUUUACAAAAAAGGUACAAACAUAUCAAAUGAAUAUUAUGUAAGAAGGAAAUAAAACAUAGAUGAUAUAUGUUCUCAAUUAUAUUUAUAUAUAUUCAUUGUUUAAGAAGUGUCAAAAAAUCAUCAACUAAAUAAGUAAACGUAUACUGUAUAUAGUCAUUUUUUAAGAAGUGCCAAAAGAUCAUCAAUUAAAUACAGUAAACGCAUCUUUAGUUAAAAGGUUAUAUACUGUAUAUGUAUUCGAAAGAGUGGGAUAAAAAUACAUUUUUGGAUCGCAAUUGCGAAUUGCAUCAAUAUAAAUGGACUCAUAUGGUUUUGUUCAAUUAGGAAACUUUUAAACACACGUCUCACAGCCACUAAAAAAAUGUAUAAAUAACUUUUGUAUAUUUUUAUUUCUCGUCAGAGAGAAUUUAGAAGCUAAAAGAAAAAUAAAAAAUACUUCAGGUGACGUGGGUAGUCCGUACAGAUUUACAGAGCGUAAAAAGACGUUGUGUAAAAGUUAUAAAAAAAAAAAAAAGAAGAGAGAAUCAUAACAGUGAAAUUAUUACAGAACAAGAUGGGUGAUGUGGUCUGACGGACACGUGUCGAGGUAUGAUUGAGUGAAGACUUCUGUCGGAGACGUGCUCGCUGAGCCGAAGCCUCCUUUUUAACAGUGACUUGUCUUACGCUAUGUCUUUUAACAUUUCUACCCUUCUACUUUUCUUUAAAUAUCAUAACACCGUCUAUACUUUUUAUUUUAAUGUUUUACCAAAUCAUGGUUUCAAUUUUCAUUUCGCACGUACGUUUUUUUUCUUCUUUCUAAAUUGUGUUGAAAACAAAAACAAAGAAAAAUAAACCAAUCCACUUAACCCAUAAACAAAAAAAAAUGGUUGAUAUUUUUCAUAUUCAAACUGAGAAAAAAGUAAAAGAAAACAAAGUAACUUAAAGUUAAACAAUAUUCUUGAAAAAUAAGUGUUUGCACCCAAUUAUGGUUAUAUCAACUGCCAAAAACCCCACCUAAUGUUUUGCUUACGGAAUGGAAGGACUAGAAGAGCACUUCUGAUUACCGAACGAGACCGGUUAACGUUAACCAUAUCAAGAAUCUACCAGCAUCCGGUUUAUCUAAUCAAAGUGCCUUAUUUGGUUAAACCAGCAACUGAUCAAGAAUUGGUGCAGUAAGCUUCUCAAAUUCAACAUUACAGAUGGACUGAUUACACAUUAUCAUAUAGGUCAAGAAGAUGAAAACAAAGUAGUUUUAGUAUUGAAGCAAUCUCUGUAAUUCUACCUUAGAAAACGGUCAAGAUUUUGAGCAUUCGGGACAAGGGAAACAACCUUUGGCUUGGCAAUUAUCGCAAGCGACUGAUCUUAAAUUCGAUGAGUCACUGAAUCCAAAAAAUCCGCCUGAUUUGAUCGUUCCUGUUCCUUUGCAGCGGCCACACGCUACGCUCUUAAGAUCUCCACAUUUUCGGCACAUGCCAAGAGAUCUACAAACAAUUGUUUUAGAAACAUCUGAUUGUAAUAAGAUAUAGAUUCAAGAACAAGUCUAGUUUCAUUCAGCCAUAGACAGACAACAUUCUUAGAACAUUUCUUGUAGACACAAUGAACAGUCUUUUAAGAUCAGAUGCUUACACGGUCUCUCUCAUUACAAAGAUAAGAACUUGAGAAACCAUAAUCAAAAUCAAGAAUCUUAACAUAGUGAGAAGACCUUCAAAUUAAAACAGUCUCAUUCUUUGAAGACGAACAUAUGAACCAAGAAGAAACCAUUACUUUCACAUGGUCAGAACUAAGAAGAAAAAAAGCUUCUACUGGAGAGUGAAACUACAAGCAUAACCCAAUAUGAAUUUUUUGAUUUCAAAAUCUAUACUUUGGUUGAGAUUUCAAACAACACAUGACAAAAAAGAAAAAAAAAGAACUCCUAAAGUCCUAUCAUUUUCAGAUUUUCAGCAAAUUGAGAAGUAAACCAAACAGCUUACUACAAUUCUACGCAGCUACUACAAUCAAGCAAGUAAUUUCUUGAUUACUACAAUUAUACGCAGCUACUAGAAUCAUCAUUAAUCAAAUAGGUUCAUCUAGAAUCCAAACAUGUUCAUCAUAAUUGGAUACUAAAUGAGAUGGGUUUCACUAAGAACAUGAAAGAUUGGGUUUUUGUGUGUGUUAUGAGAUAAAUGAACUUGUAAAAAAGAUUUGUUUACCUUCUCUGAGAAGCGGCGAUGAAAGCAUCAACUUUAGGAGCAACGAGGGUGGCACCGAGAAGCAGAGCUCCUACUGCGAAACCCGCAACUUCGUUUGAUGUUAAGCUCUGCAUCGUCUUCUUCUUCUUCUUCUUCCCCUUUCUCUUGCUCUCCUCUGGUUCUUCUUAAUUUGAUAAUGAUAUCCUUCUCCCAUUACCAACGUACAGUAUUGUAUCAAUCUAACGAUUACCAAACAUGGCCUAUUAGCUCAGUUGGUUAGAGCGUCGUGCUAAUAACGCGAAGGUCACAGGUUCGAUCCCUGUAUAGGCCACUUUUUUACGUAACUCAGCGAAAGAAUAUCUAGCUUUUUAUCAUUACUUGAGUGUGUUGUAUACCUGAUGAAGAGAAGUCUUAGCAACUGGCCUAUUAGCUCAGCUGGUUAGAGCGUCGUGCUAAUAACGCGAAGGUCACAGGUUCGAUCCCUGUAUAGGCCAUUUUUUUAUUUUUGUUUCUCUCUCUUUUUAGUUAUUUUCAAUUUGACCCCAUAAGUUUUGAUAUCAUCAACUCCCAUCCUAAAGUAAAAAUAAAGAGCAAAAUAUCUGCAAUGGUUUGUAGGGUUUAAACAAGUUUACUCCGUACGGCCUCUCUCACCUUUCCUUCUCUCUGAAACUGCAACAAGAGGAGAAGCGAUAGGGUUUAUUCAAGCUUCACUCAAACAAGUCGAUAGGUUUCGGCAUAUAUAUUCACAUAUCUGUAGCUUCAAGCUUUGUGAUUUGCAGUUCGGGUUACAGAUUCGUGUUGGUAGUUCAAUUUGUGAACCUUUGGCCCCUAAAGCGAAGAAUCUGAGAUCAGCAAUGGAAACAGAUCUAAAUGAUUAUACCGUUAUCAAGGAAGGAGAGGCUGAGGUCCUAAUGCACAAGAAGAACCAAGUCUUCUUCAACAAAGCUCAGGUUUCAUUUUUGCCUUCUUGUUGCUAUUGGAUUUGAUUUGUUGCAAAGGAUCUUCAUUUUUGGUGAUCAUUGAUUGAAUUACGUCAAGGGAAAUCUUAAGAUUGAUCAAGUAUUAGUUUGGGGCAUUUUUAUCUUUGUUUGAGAAUUUAAAUUCAGUGUUUCUAAUGAUUACCAUAUUCUUAGAAGCAGUUCUAGCACACACUUAAGUUAGAAUUCCUUAGAUAGUGUUUUUUUAUGAAUCCAUUUGGAUGUACGUGUGAGCUAAAUCUAAGUGCUUAUUGUUUUAUGGUUAGGUUAACAAUAGGGACAUGUCCAUUGCUGUGCUAAGGGCAUUUAUAUCCAAACGCAAGCAAGAGCAUGAGGCGAUGUUGUCUAAAAGAGCUAGAUCAUCUGGGAAAGUCUCUGAGACUUCCAAGGAAGAAACUCCUACUGAAAACGGUGAGGAUAAUGGUAAAACCAAUGGAGAACACAAAGUAACAUCUCAGGAUGAACCAAAGGAAGCUCCCAAGAUCGCAUAUGAAUCUGCACGAAGAGAACUCAAGCCACCAAGAGUGCUUGAGGUCUACCUAUCUUCUUUCCCCUAUGAGUCUAUGACUGUUAUAUAUUUUUGUUUGUUAGUUCUGGCUGUUAUAGUUGUACUUUUGUUUUCUUAUAUCGUUUUUUUGAGUUGAUAACUUAUUCUUGUGUUAUGCAUUUUAUAGGCCCUGUCAGCUUCAGGGUUAAGAGCUUUGAGGUAUGCUCGUGAAGUUGAAGGAAUUGGUCAAGUUGUGGCUUUGGAUAAUGACCCAGGUAAUAUUUUCAUCCUAACUUUUGUGAUUGUGAAGAUGUUAGAAACGCAACUUUUCUUCUAUCCUAACUUCCCAGAAUAAUAUUAGUGUUACCAUUUUCCUAUUAAAGCAUCGGUUGAAGCUUGCCAGAGAAACAUUAAGUUCAAUGGCUUGAUGUCCACUUCAAAGGUGGAGUCACAUCUUACUGAUGCUCGUGUCCACAUGCUUAGCAACCCAAAGGAAUUUGAUGUGGUAUGCAUUCAAAUUUUUUACAAAAUCUUAUACUCAUUUUGUCAAAAGAUUUGGACGUUUUUCUUCUGAUUGACUGCAUUAUUCUGUUAACUGAUUUGGCUCACUGAUGUCUUAGGUUGAUCUUGAUCCAUAUGGUGCCCCGUCCAUUUUCCUUGAUUCAGCUGUUCAAUCAGUUGCUGAUGGUGGGCUGCUAAUGUGUACAGCAACUGACAUGGCAGUGUUAUGUGGGGCAAAUGGCGAGGUUUGCUAUUCAAAGUGAGAUUUUCCCCUUGAUUACCUUAUUCUGAAAACAAAUAUCCUUAAUUUGUCUAACUGCCUCUAAUCUGUCUAUUGUUAGAUAUGGUUCUUAUCCACUGAAAGGAAAAUAUUGUCAUGAGAUGGCUUUGCGGAUCCUCCUGGCCAGCAUCGAGGUAAUUUUCUUAGCUACUGGUAAACACCGUUCUAUUAGUAUUUCUUGUCGGGAAGCUUUCUUUGAUUGACUUUGGUCAUACUGAUUGCAGAGCCAUGCAAAUCGCUAUAAACGGUAUAUUGUUCCAGUUCUAUCAGUCCAAAUGGAUUUCUACGUCCGUGUUUUUGUCCGCGUUUACACGUGAGUUAUCCUUUCUUUUCAAACACUUCCUCUCAGCUAGAGGCAAAGUAAAGACUGAAGCUUUAUGAAAUGCAGUUCGGCGAGUGCAAUGAAAAACACUCCACUAAAGCUCUCAUACGUCUAUCAGUGCAUUGGUUGUGAUUCCUUUCAUCUUCAAUCUGUUGGAAGAUCUCUCCCUAAGGUUUCGUGUCUGUCUCUUUGCAUAUUUAGUUUACUUAGUUACUGAAAGCCUCCUUUUUCUGAUAAUCCUCUUCUACAAUUUUCUUACAGAAUAACAGUGUGAGGUAUCUACCAGGAGUUGGUCCUGUUGUUCCUCAGGAUUGCACUCACUGUGGAAAGAAAUAUAACAUGGGUGGACCAAUAUGGUCUGCUCCAAUGCACGAUCAAGAAUGGGUGACUUCGAUACUUAACGGUGUUAAAUCCAUGAAAGACAGAUAUCCUGCUUAUGACCGAAUUUGUGCUGUUCUUACAACAAUCUCAGAGGCAAAACAUUCCUCCAAACUCUGUAAAUCUUAGUUUUUGGUUUGGCUUAAAUUCUCUAAAUCCCUAUAUUUGUUUUGCUUGUCUCCAGGAAUUGCCAGAUGUUCCACUCUUUUUGAGCCUUCAUAGUCUCUCUGCGACGCUAAAAUGUACUUCACCUUCAGCUGCUCUGUUUCGAUCAGCGGUAAUUAAUGCAAAGUACCGUGUCUCAGGGUCCCAUGUGAACCCGCUUGGGAUCAAAACUGAUGCUCCAAUGGAGAUUAUCUGGGACAUCAUGCGGUGCUGGGUAAACCAUCUUCGUUCCUUCAUUUUACUCAAAUAAGUUCAAAGUUUCUUUUCCUCAUUAAUAAUGAAUGAACUCGUUUUGUUUGGUUGUAGGUGAAAAAUCAUCCCAUUAAACCGCAAUCACCUGAACAUCCUGGAAGUGUGAUUCUAUCUAAAGAACCAUCACAUCAGGUCCUAGUUCACUAGCCAUUGUUGUAAUGGUUUCCUAGAUUCUAUUUAAAGUAUUGAGCUUGAAUCUUUACAUUAUUUUCUUUUGGACAGGCUGACUUUUCUCGCCAUGCUGGUUCGCUUAGCAAAGCACAGGCGAAGAAAGUAGCUCGGUUUCUACCAAACCCAGAGAAACAUUGGGGUCCAAAGAUCAGGGCUGGCCGUACAAUCACAAGCAAACAUGUCUCGCUUCUGGGUCAUGAAGCAGUUAACGGUCAUCUCAACGGCAAUCACAAAGAAGCAGGGGCAGAAGAAGAAGAGACUCAAGAAGAUAUCAACGAGGAUGAGCCAGAUCUUAAACGCCAAAAGACAGCAGAGGAUAUUGCCUCAACAUCAUAGGGGAUAUUGCCUCUAAAAGAUUUUUGCAUUGUCCUUUUUGAAAAAAAUUGUCAUCAGAGUUUUGCGUUUUUGAUAUAUUCUAAGCACUUUUGCUGUUUUGCAGACUUGGAACAAAAAAAGUCUACGGGGUUCUAAAGAUCUGUUACCUACUAUUAAAAAAACAAACAAUUGUAAUAUGUAACUGUUCAUCACCAACAGGCAACACUUUUAUUUAAUUCAGUGUUUUUAUAAUUUCAAAUUUUCAUAAUUAUUUCUAGUUUAGUUGCUUCUUUGGCAACCUAGUAUAGAUCCAUAAACAAAAAGCAAAAAUCAUGUGUAAACUGAUAAGAAGCAUAGUAUCAUUAUUAUCUCUUGAACUCUGUUUGUGGCAUGACUAACACGAUAUUACAAAUAUAAUUUUUAUUAACAAUAAAUUUGGAUAAAGAACAAACAAGUCGUUGUAGUAUAGUGGUAAGUAUUCCCGCCUGUCACGCGGGUGACCCGGGUUCGAUCCCCGGCAGCGGCGUUAUUUUUUAUAUAUUUCCCAUUCUCUAAAAUUGUGGUUAUUACGUGGCAUAAUCUUAGCCCACGAGUGUAAGUUUAAUACAGAUACACCGUCACAAUUUAAUUAAUUAUUGUUUAAUGUAUAAUAGAUACGAAUCUUUUCAUCUUCCUUCUUCGAAUUUUUUUGAUUUUCUCCGUGUUUUUUUGACCUCUUCUCUCUGGGAAGCUCAGCAAUGUCAUCGGCGAAACUUUUCGGUUGUGCUAUCAACGUCGAAGCAGAGCAAGAAGGCGGCGGUGGAAGCUCAAUCGCCCUUGAGGUUCCUCGAUCUGGUAUCCAACAGGAUUUCAAUCCGUUUUACCAUUUCUUAGAUUCGAAUUCGGACUCUGGAUCGGUUUCUAUGGAGGCGGAACCUGAAUUCAUCGAUUUCUUUGAUCGAGAGUCGUACGAGAUCGACAUGGGACGUGAGUUUCGUAUAGGUUCGAAUCAGAGGGUGAGUAGUAGUUUCGGUGGUUUCAAUAUCUGGGAGGAGGAUAUAGAAUUAGGGCUUGGAAUCGGGUCUGGGUCAGGUCCGGGUGAUUCAGGUGGGUUAGUGGUUCACAGGGAAAUUGAUUCGGGUCGGGUAGAAGUUGGUACUCGUGUUGAGUAUAAUAAUAAUAAUAAUCUAUCUGAAGAAGCUAUGGUGCUUGAUGAAGAAUUCGAAUGGGAGAACUUGCACAACGCGAUUGACUGGGUUCAAGAGCCUGUUCAAGUUAGUAGCAGCCCAUCAAUGGAUGAUGCUUGGCAAUUGUUGUGGGAUGCCAACAGUUUUUUCGAAGAUAUGAUGGAUUUGGAUCUCGGCGUCUAUCUAGCUAAUUCAUAUGAAGAUGGCGAAACCAAUGGAGAGUACGAUGCGGUUUUAGCACGAAUGUUUGAUAACGAGGAUGGAGUCGUGGGAAGUCCUCCCGCAUCCAAAAGGGUGGUUGAUGAUCUUCCUGCUGUGGUGAUUACCUCUGAACAAGUGAGCAACGGGAACACCAUUGUUUGUGCGAUCUGCAAAGAUGAUAUUGUGGUUGAGGAGAAAGCUAAGAGGCUUCCUUGUAAGCAUUUCUAUCAUGGUGAUUGUAUAGUACCUUGGUUGGGGAUAAGGAAUACGUGCCCGGUUUGUCGGUAUGAGCUACCUACGGAUGAUGUUGAGUAUGAAAGGACUAGGAGAUCACAACGGCGAGGUAGCAGCGGUUUGGCAAUGGAGUCAAUGUCCGGGUAGAUGAAGAAGUAAUUGUGCUUUGAUCUUUGGUAAGGCCUCAUUGGUAAAAUGAUUUGUUUCUGGUUGCUAUGAUGUACAUAUUGGUCAUAGUUAAAAGGAAGAAUACAUUGGCAGCCAUGUAUUGUGUAAGUUAUUUAGGUUUUAUAUAUCUUGUAAGACUUUGCUGAUAAUUGCAGUCACAGUUUGUUUAUCAUAGAGGAAUUGCUGCUGAUCUGACUUCGAUUAGUUCUAAAUAUGAAUAUAUUUUCUGUUUCUGAUAUGAUUUUGAUGCUUCUACACUUUACCAGUGAAAGAUUAGACUGUUCAACGUGAAAGGCCCGUUGAUGUUUUAAUACCAUUUCAGUUUGGAUUUGUAUCAGUAAGAGAUGUUGUAAAUAGAGGCAUAUGUGUGACUUCGUGGCCUAUAUAAAAUUAAGUGGACAAGAUUUUGAUCCAUCAUGUUGGGGUUUAUUUUGAUGGGCGGGAAUAUAGAUAUCAAGGUGGAAGCUGCAAAGAGAUAUUACACUCAAAACCCCAUUGAGCAGAUUCAUUGUUGUCUCUUGUUGGUUAUACUCCGUAUAUCCAGUCCACCAAAGAAUAGUGUAAAAAUGGAUCAUCUCUGGUUAAAAGUUAUAUCCGAUCGACGGAAAAUGUUUAGUUAGCUCUAAAAGGCGGUUAAAUUGCGUUUAUUUCAUUAGUCAGCUCUUUUUUCUUAUCUGUUAUCUGUAAACCUUUAGUCAGCUCUAAAAAGCAGUAAAAUUCAGGUAUGCGUAAUACAAAUAUUUUAAAUAUGUGGAAAACGCAUGAAAUGAGAUCAUUCUCUUGAUUGGGGGUUUUUUUUUUUCUUUUUUCUUUUUUUCUCCUGAUUGGGUUAUACACUUAUACUAAUCUAGAUAACAAUAUAUUUUAUUUAAUAUAUAUAACAUAAAAAAUUAUUACUUAAAAACAUCUCAUUAAACUACAGAAAUGUUGGCUUGUGGUUUAAAUAUAUUGUUUUGUAUAAUUUUUUACUAUUAAAUAUUCACUAAGUUAGAUAAAUGUUAGAAUUUUGGUUGGAAAUUACCUUUAUUAUGUAUAUAUUGUUCCGAUAUAAUUUUUCUCUUCACGUCUUUACAUAAAUAAAUAUUUGGAUAUAAAUAUUUGGAUAUUCAUACGAUCCUUAUCUAUAUCCACAUUUUGUUUCCCAAAUUUAAAUACAAAUGGGAUCAUUAAAAUCGGACUUGGGUAAAACUAGAAAAGCUAUUUUGAAAUGAUAUUAAUUAUAAUUUUUUACUUUCUCGACUUAUAAUUGCUGUGGAAGUUUCCUUAGUCGAGUGAUUGACUGAGGAAUAAUUGAUUUUUCUACACCAAAUGGUAUGGGAUUCAACACACAUAUAUUGUGGUUUAUUAAUUAAUUUACAGAUUAAGGAAACAAGUUUAUAAGAGACAUACAACGAUGCAUAAUUUAGAGUCGUUCACCGUGAUUAUAUAUUGAGAAAAUGAAAUGAUGUAUAUCUAGAAAGAAAAAUAAUCUGUAAUUUGUUUAAUAGGAUGGGAGAGAAUUGUAUGUGGUAGAAUCGGUUUUCUAACGGUUCUCAUCAUUUGUAAUAAUUAAUAAAUCAAGAAUUAAAAAAAUGAUUUAUUAUUAGUCUUUAUAUUUUAAUGUCUAUUGAAAUUAACUACUUCAAAUAUGAACCGAAAGCCUAUUAUGAUUAAGAUUGUUUAAAAAGAAAAAAAAAAACUAAAGUUCGUAAGUCAUUUUCACAAGCGAGUGGCUGGCUCUUUUCUCUAUAGUGACUUUACAUUUCUAAAGAGCCAAACUUCAAACAUUGAGUGUCGAUCUUUUUUUUUAAUUUUUUUUUUUUUUUUGAAGAAAAUGAAAGUUGGAAAAUCUAUUUCUCUGGCUCUUGGAUGCCCAUUUGGCUCAACACUAUUUGAUUAUCCUCUCACAUGCAAUAAUUAUGUCUCUUGUCUCAUUCCACACAUAAAUUUUCUUAACUUUCUAAAAAUAUAAGCUCCUCCUCUAUGAAAUCUAAAAGGUUACCAUAGAUAGUUAGUCGUUCACAUCAACCACUAACCAUAGAUAGACUGCGUUAUCUAUCUUGUUUUAGAUCAUGUUCCUCUUAUGACGAAUCAGCAGACGGCAUGGUAUAGACAUAAUAUUUUCAUGAAAACACGACCUCGAACACGCGAAUAUAUCUCUAAAACAUUUUGUGACGUUUUCAACUUUAUUUGUGUAGAACAAACGGAUUAAAUAAGUGAACUGUAAAGGAAAAGAUGAGAAACUUUAAAAUAAAACGUAUUUGUUGUAGUUGGAGUGGGUGAAUAACAUCACAUCAAAAAUAAAUUCAUCACACCAUUUGAAAUGUCUCAUUUGAUAAUUAUUACCUCAAUCAUUUUGUAAUUGAAAUUUGCGCUCGAGUAGUCUUCAGUGACGUUCUCCCACUUUGUUUUCUUGUCUCUUAGGAUUCUCUCUUCUCUUCUCUUUAAGCUUUCUAUACCAAAAUGCAUAUAUAUUAACUACUCUCCAGGCAAUCAAUAAACCAGAGACAAGAUUAUAAAGUUAAAUGUAUAACGGUAAUCAAAAUUCAGACUAGUCUAAUCUCAUGGCACAGAAGUUUGUGAUUUUAUGUUGUUAUUCUUUUUUUCUUUUCUUUUCUUUUCUUUUCUUGUAACAUCUUACACGAGUUGAGUUACAGUAAUCUUCAUGGAGGUUAGAUGAUGGUAGACAAAAUUUGUGGUUGUGUAAUGUAUUUAAGUUUGCAUGGCGAAAAGUUGUAAUUAUUGCUGGUGUCCAUACUCAGAUAAUAUGGCUUUGAUACAAAAGCUAUAUAUGCAUCCUAAUAAAUUUUUAAAAACCUAAGAAAACAUCUAUAAAAAAAACAAAUGGAAGCACAAUUAGGCAAGAACAAGUGGGUCAUUUGACAAUUGUAAUCUUUCUGCAGGCAGUAGUAAAAUUUAUAGCAUAAUCGUAACUAUUAUGGUUAUUUAGUUAUUUUAUAUUACGUAAUUUUCUUAUAUUUGUUAAGGUUAUCAAACAUGAGAUCAAUUUUUUCCCUCGAAGAAAUAAUAAAAAGUUAGGUGUAUAUAUAUAUAUAUAUAUAUGAAAUAUGAUUGAGAGAAUUCUUCAUUCGGCAAAUUGGAUAGACUCAUCUAAAGGUACGGACGAAAAAUACCAAAGUAUAAACUAUGGGUAUAUAAUUACAAUAUUUUUCAUAAAAACAAAAGGUGUGGAAUUAUAAAAAAGGUGUGAUGAUAUAAUAGGCUUUGCUUUGGUGAUUGGCUUAUCCUUAAUCCACCAAUCAGUUGUACCAUCAUGACCUCAUCCAUUUUUCAUUAAAAAAACAGUAUAACGAUAAAUUAAUAUGUUGAUGAUAUUUGGAGUUUUCUUAACCAAGAAGAUCUCAAUGGAAUUCCAAAUUUUCAUAUUUGGUAUUUAAGGGGCAGACGAAUCUAACAAAACAAAUCAAAAACCUUUUAUUACCACACUUAAUUACCAGCGAGUCAAACUUGAUGUUCGAACAAAUGUGUAUUGAAGAUACUAAAAUAGUGUUCUAUAUAUAUACUUAGAAGUCUGAACUGCCUUUAGAUACUACAUAUUUCACAUGGUAGGUACUAUACAUGGUAGGUACUACUAAUUAUAUUAGAACACAGUUACGAAAACUAGUUUUUGUUUUCUUAACAGAAUUGAAGAUCUGAGGGAAUUAUUUGGUAAAGAAUUGAAUAUUCAAGGUAGGGCAAUAUCAGGUGGUAGUGUCAUUGAUGGGACCAAAACAAUGAAACAUUCAAAAAUACUUUUAAAGUUUAUUUAAUCGAGUAAAAAAUAUAUGUAUUACUAAAAAGACUAUCAGAAAAAGGAGACACUAAGGAAAAGCAAAUUGGAAAAAAAAAAGUUGAAAAGGAUAUAAUAAGAAGAAGAAAAAAAAACUUGAGGCUGUGGAAGAAGAACAAACCGUGCAAAGGACAUGAGACUGAAAUAAAGAUGAAAUAGACUUUGUCUCUGAAUGAUAUGACUUUGAUGGUAUCUCUAUAUUUGCCUUUUGUUUGACCAACACAGUCGCACUCUUUUUUUUUGCAUCAACAUGCAAUUUAAACCAUGCUGUCAAAAUAAAGUUUAAGUCACUCAAAUUCUUGUGAAUUGCACAUUACAAAAUAUAAACUCAUACAUAUGGAGAUCUAUGAUCUGAACUGAACUAAGUAAAAACUCAAAUGAAUAUCAGUCCAGAGACUUAAAAAUACACUAUAUUGUAUGUUCAACAUAAAGUACUAGCUAGGCAUGUCUCUUACAUAUGUAGUUUCCUUAAAUAGUAAGUUAUAUUGCAUCAGUAGUAAUAACCGAACUUAAUUAGUUAUUGGAAAAAACAAGCUCCAGACUGUAUAACUUUCAAGCAACACCCAAGAGGACCAAUAUCAUCAAUAUGCACAUAUUUAAAAUUAGAAUUGCCUUUUACAAAGGGAUUAUAAUAUAGAACCCAUGCAUGCCUAAGUUUUUUUGUUUUUGUUAUAUUUAGUUUAAAAAAGUUGGAUACAUUUUAAUAUAUAUAGUAGAGUAGUGGCAAUUAAGAAAGAAAAGAGGAGACCAAAGAAGAUUUCUUGAAUUCUCCAUUUGUUAAUGAGUUUCCCAAAAACUUCCAUUGCGCUUAUCAUAAAGUCAGGAACUUAUAGGACAAAACUCAAAAAAAGAAAAAAAAAGAUUUCCUAAUAUUUCAUUCGUUAUAGAAAAGUUCAGACAGUUUACAACAAAAUGAUCAUAUAUGCGUUCGGUAAUUAACAAUCAAGUUUCUUGAUAUUUGAUUAUUAAGCAACCAAGAUAUAACACUCGUCUAGUAACUCUAGCUAGGAAAGACAUAUUGGUUUUAGUUUGUAAUCACUAAUCAUUAUGCAAGUGUGUGUGUGGUUUUAAGUGGUUGUUGAGUCAUCAAUUCCUCAAAUGUAUUAUAUAGCCUUUGUUUUUGUAAUGAACAUCAUAAAACGACAAGCCAAGCCUGCCUAACACAUCUUGCUUUCAUUGUGAAAGUAUAAGAAGUUUGUUUGGUUUGGUUUUUGUUAAUGCUGGUCUUUGACCACAUAUAUCUAUAUAUAAUAUAAGACGAGUUGGCGCAAGUAAUAAUCAAGGUUUUGUAUCAACAUGAUCUAAUAUAUGACUUGGUUUAUUGAGAUUAAACAUACAUAACACUUAAAACGAAAAAUAACCCAUACAUAUAUUAUGUGCAUGGUUAAAGGAUCGAGGAUGAAUAAUCAAGUUGAUCAAUCGAGUGAUCCGAAUUAGAGUCUUUAUAUUGCAAUUAUAAUUGAUCACUGUACGUAAUAGUUUUAAAUGACAAGAAAUAUUGUAGUAUACAAAGACACCAUAUUUUAUAUUUUAUUUAGGACCUCCACAAAUCUACGCUAGAAAACCAUAUGAUAAUGAAGUAAAGAAGAGAAGCAAAUCUUAAAGCUCCAAGAGAUAAUAUUUUUAUUAUUUUUCUAUAGAAAAGGAAAGAAGAGAAAUUGGUGAGUAAGUUUGUGUGUAGAUGUUAGAAUCAAAUAAAGAACAUAUAUACUUUAUAAAUUGACUUAUUUGGCAUCAUUGCCACUUUAUGUAUUGGCUAACAAAAGCAUUGUUUCCAAACUAAAAUAAUUUUGAAACCCCACAACUAGAAACUACAAACUUUCUCUCUGAUGUAAGCACAUAACAUUGAUCGAAAGCUUGAUUUUAUCCACAACAUGUAUACAUGGUAUCCAAGUCCUCAUGUGUCAAUAUCAUCAUAAUGCAUGGGCAUGAUGAUACAUAGAAUUUAACAAUUUUCAGUUCAAUCAUGAUCAUGAAGAUGCCACUAAAUGGCUAUGGCGCCAUCUCCUAGCUAUAGACUCACAUGCAUCGGACACAAGAUGCCACCAUUUGAUUAUUAAACUAAUCGUAUGAUGAUCUAGCACCUCCAUGUUCAUGAUCAUAUAUAUGGAUACACACACAGACACAUAUAUAUAACUUAUGAAUUUAUAUGAAUGUGUGAUACACCAUGCAUGCAAGUCAUGGUUAUUAUAAAAUACGAGCUAGGCAUAAGGCAUGUAUAAUGCCUUCCCUAGAUCUCAUAUUCUCAUUCUCAUGCAUGAACCAAUGAAUAGCCAAUAUAUACGUCAAUGGGACUUCCAUUUCAAACCUGUUUAUCGAUCUAUUACAUUAGUCAUCGUCGAUUUUAUGUAGCAACAUGUAAAACUAAGAAAAUAAGUAAAAAAAAUAACUUCGAUAUGUAAACUUAAUAAUUGUUAACAAUAAAAGGCAUGCCCAUGGCCAUAGCAAGUGUCUUCGAUCGACAUAAUCUAAAUUAUUAUAUAUUCAAAAGCAAAGCCUUCUUAAGCAUGUGUCACGAAAGCCACCAAUUUGCACCAAAAAAAAGUGUGGUCCACUUGUAUGCCUUUCUCAGCUGUAUAAACACUCCUUCUCAUCCAAUCUCCACACCAUUAACUCAACCUCUUUGAGCUAUAGCUCUAAUCAAGAAAAGAGAUAUAGAGGUUGACCAUGCAGCCAAAUUAUGAUAGCUUAAGUCUUAACAACAUGCAACAACAAGACUACUUCCACUUAAACAACUACUACAACAACCUAACCCCUUCAACCAACAACAAUCUCAACCUGCUCCAAUACCCUCAGAUUCAUCAAGAACUCAACCUACAAUCUCCGGCAAGCAACAACUCUACGACUUCAGAUGACGCAACAGAAGGAAUCUUCGUCAUCAACGAGAGAAAGCAAAGACGUAUGGUAUCAAACAGAGAGUCAGCAAGAAGGUCAAGAAUGAGAAAGCAAAGACACUUAGAUGAGCUUAUGUCACAGGUUGCUUGGCUUAGAAGCGAGAACCACCAGCUUUUAGAUAAGCUUAACCAAGUCUCCGACAGCAAUGAUCACGUUAUGCAAGAGAACUUGAAUCUUAAGGAGGAGAACUUGGAGCUUCGUCAAGUGAUCACAUCCAUGAAGAAGCUUGGAGGAGGCAUCCAUGAGAAGUAUCCAUCUUCUUCUUCAAUGGAUGAAGACUUCUCUUCUAUUACAGAUGAUCCAAGAAGUCAUCAUCCAUCAUGAGUCGUCACGUCGAUCUUUGUGAUCGAGAUCAAGAACAUUAAUUACUUUGAAGUUUCUGCCUCUCUAAUUAAUCUAUCUAUAUUUUUCUUUCUUUGGCAUCACUUUUUUUUUUUAACGGUUUAAUUAACUACGUACCAAAGUUUGGGGUUUUAUUUGUUAUCCUUGGUGGGUUGUCAUCAGAUUUCUUCUAUUUUCUGUUAUAUUGUAUCAGCAGAAAAGAAGAAUAAAUUGAGAUGGAUAUUUUCUUCUUCCAUUUGAAGAUAAUUCUAGUAAACAAAGAAUUAUAGUUUCUAAUUAAUGAAUAAAUUUUUGAAAAAGGAAUUAAGAAUAUAUAUUUUAAUGUAUACAUUGUAGGAGAGAAAGAAAAGAAGACAAACAAACAACUACCACCGACCCUGCUCACCCCAAUUGCUCUCAAUAGCCAACUUUUACUCUCUCUCUCUCUAUAUAUAUAUAUUUGAAUAAGAAUUAUAGCAUAAAUUAAUUUUAAAAGGGUUCUUGGUAUGGUGAAUGAUAAUGCAGCUAGCAUUCUUGGUGAAAAUAGUUCGAGGAUGAUCUUUCUAGAUAUCAAACUUAUCAUCUCUGAUGACCUCUCUCUCUCUACAAGUGUCUACAAAGUAAAGUAAAAGGAAAUUUCUUCUUUUCGGUUACGUACGUUUUUACUAUUUUUUUUAUUUAAAUGUCAUUUAUGAUAUAAAUUAGAUUACAAAAAGUGGUUAAAAAUAAAAAAGGAAAAAAAAAGUUUAGCGCGCAAGAUUAAUGGGCCUUCUAUCCUUGGUUUGGCCCAUUAGUAUUUGACCGUAGGUGAGAAGUCAUCACUGUAAAGAAGAAUCUGGGGUUUUUUUUCUUCUGGUACUCGUCGGAUUCAUUACCUGGGGAUUAGUUUGGAUUUAGUUGAGCAAACAAAACUGUGAAUUCAAAUCUAUUGGAAUUUUCACUGUCCAAAUUCAAUCUAUGGAAUCAUCAAAUUUCGCAAUUUUUUUCCCUCAAAUUUAUCCAAAAUAAUCCCAAAACUUUUGUGACGGAUUGAGAAAGUACGUUCCUUUAAUUCAAAUUCUAGCCACUUUGUAUGAAUGGUAGUGUUUUUUGUUUUUUUUGAUUGGUGUGUGUUUGUUUGAUUCCACCUUUUUUUUAAAUAAAAUGUUAGAAAGGAUAGAGAGAUGAUCAUUGAUUCAUUUGGGGUUUUAGAGAUCUGUUCAGAUAUAGUUUUGCUUGUUGUUCUGUAACUUGACAUUUUCCAUUUUGUGGUUCAAAUAAACAAGUUUUUUUAUGCUUCUUCUUCUUUUCCAAUCUGUGGAUUUAAUGGUCGUUAGGGGAGAGCUCCUCUCACAUGUUUAGGCUCUCACAUGACACAAAAGUUAGUUCUUUUUCCCUGGAUUAUGUGGAGGAAAUUGCUAUUUCACUAUAUGGAUUAUGGUCAUUUAAGCAAAAUGUUUGAAGAGUGAGAAUCAAUCACGUCCCAGGGACCGUUGUAAAGCUUUUGAUUGUACGUUUGCAGAUGGUUUUUAAUUUUCAUGGGUGUGACUGUGAGUAAGUAAACGAUCUGAACUAUCCUUAGAUUUUUGGAAAAGUAUAAAAGUGCAGCAUCUUCUUAUCACUUUAUGCACUUUUCAUGUGAGGUCUCGAAUCCAUCACUUUGAAAUUAACGCUUAGUAAGCUAUUCACUUGGUUGUUAUUUCUUCUUAAAGUGUUUGAAGCAGAAAACACAUUUGGCUGAUGGUUUCUAUAUCUAGGACUGGGAUAUGACUCAUUUUAGUUAUAAGUGCUGAUACACUGCUCAGUAGACUUUAUUCUUACUAUUAUAAGCUUUCUUUAAUAAGUUACACAUAAUCAUGUUGUCAGGGCAAUGUAACGCCUGUCUCAGAUCUUUGUCCGAUAACAUAUAUGCAUAAACCAAAUGUUUUGAUAGCUAUGAUUAUUGUAGGGUAAAUGAAGACCUCUGCAGCUUGUCAUUCUUAUCAGCAUAUACCCUUGGAGUAUGAGCUUUAUUUCAUGAAGUAAGUACUUAUGUUUAUGCGUAUGGUCCAUACUCAUAGGCAUUUACCUAUUCUUAGUAGUUGUUAGUGAUAUAUACUAGAGAGCACGCGGGAAUGCAUAUUCGGUGCUGAAAUCAUCUUUAGUGCCAAUUGAGAUAAACAAUAUGCUUCGAUGAAUUAUUCACAAUAGCAAUGGUUCACUCAGGGAUUCUGGUUUUCUGCUAAUGUAUACCCCUUUUUCUGAGAACCAUACUGAAACUGACCACUUCGUGUAUUGACUUCGUGUUGAUUAGUGGGAUUACAAAUGUUGUGUGGGAUGGGAUAAUAGUACUCACCUAGCUUGCACAUGUUCAGGUUGUCCGAAAGUCAUUGGCUUUGAACCUUAGUGUCCAUCUUAUCAAAAUGAAAUCUGCGUUUACACUUCUUGAUGAUGUAUAUUUCACAUAUUGGGAUUUGUACCAAGUAGACAGGUUUUGUUUAACUAAUGCAGAGAAAGAGGAAUACCAUAGUAAUAAUUAGCCAAAACUACAAACCUAUUUGCAUAGCGUUGGUGAUAGUCCUUGAAGCUAAGAAUUUCACCAAACCUUACAGAAUCUCAAACUAAAAGUAAUUUACACCUUGGUAUCUAUUGUUUAAUUUUGCCGUAGGAGGAUCAGAAUGAAGGAACAACGCCAUACCCUGUUUCGUACAUUAGCAUUGUGUUGAACCCAUGGUCCUCAUCUUCGAUUUCUAUCCUCUUUGCAAAACGACCAUUGACCCUUGGCCUUCUCUCUGCAUAUGCUUUUCUUGAAGCAUACCUUAUCGUCUUCUCAAAUUUCCUUGUCUUCCUCUUCUCUCUGUAUCUCAGGACCCUGGCUUCUCUGUCCGUUGGGCUGAGUUGGGUUACCAUCUGACUUGGAGGGUCAGGUAGUUUGUCUAUUGUCGCUUUGGGAGUUCUUGGAUGUGAAGCUGUUGUGAAACAUGCUGUUGACACCGGCACAACACCAGUUUCGAUGGAUGAAAUGUAUGCCUAAUGACAGAAACAAAGACACUCAAUCGCCCUGGUAAGAGGACUAAAGAGAGUCGAUGCAUAAGUAAGCAUAUUUGUUUUGUUAUUAUUAAAGACUUCUGGUGAAAUUUCUAUGUAGUAUAGAUCAACUGUUGGCAGUUAAUUCGUGGAUUUUUGUGUAUAAUAUGAAAGAAAAAGCCUGCUGCUUAUUGUGAAGAUGCCAAAUUGAAGGGCUAACAUAUAUACUAAAGCCUUACAUUAUUGUUUUGAGAACCUUUGUCGGUGUAGUGACUUCCUGAGGAGCCAUAUGUGAUAUCGAACUGAAAAUUAUGUUCAUUGUGGUUCAGGUGUCCCCUUGAUUCUUCAAGUUGAAGUGGAACCACCCUAUCUCCACCGUAGCUCGUUUGUGGUACACCACAGUCUUGUUCUUGUUGAUUGUAUUGACCUGUGAAUUGGUAGUCCAUACUUGAGUUGUGAUCCGCAAGGUCUGUAUACGCAUCACUAAACAAUAACACAUUGUUCUGGUUAUUGUUGUUAUGAUUGCCACUAUUUUUAUCUGAGUUAGGGAAUAACCAAGACACCACCUCCUUGGCAUCCUCAUUAGCCUCCUUACUUGUCUCUUCAUCCACCACUGGCAUCUUCUCUUGAUCGUCCAUUGUUCUCUCGCUUCGGUGGUGAGUGGCCAUGGAGCUGUACGAGUUUCCGGAGAUUGGCAGAAUUGGAACUCGGUGAUGGCGUCUAGCAAGUGGAUUUGCAGAAUGAACCUCUGAAUCACAGGCUGUGCAUAGAGAUGCAUCAUCUGCCUCACACAAAAAAGCAGCUGGAGCACGCUCACAUGACUCGCAGACCCCAACACGUUUAUGGCGGGAAGCAACGCGAUUGGCAGAGUGAACUUGAGCAUCACAGCUCAUGCACAAGUAGGCUGAAUCUGCAUGGCAGUACACGGUGCUGACGUUUGAACGGCAUGUAUCACAGGCUCGUGCCCUGUUGUUCUCUCCACUACUAAUAUCGUUACUCUCUUGUAUUAACAUAAUGACUCAGAUUUAGUAAGAAGGGGCUAAUAAAGCUUAGAUCUGUUGUGAGAGAAUAAGCAGAGGGGAGAUCAAAUCCUGAGUGCCUACACAUGGCACGGAGUUGGUGGCUCUUAUAUAUUAUUGGAUCAUCUACCUGCUAGUUAAACUUUUGGGAAGGCUUAUGUGUAAAGUGUAAAGUGUAAACAUCGCCUCCUAUGCACUUCUUCCUUGGGACCCGUUCACAAGUUGCUUAGGUUUUGCCACUUGCAAUACAGAGAUUCUCAACAGGAAGUGGUCCGGGUAAUGCCUUGGUGUUGCAGACACGUUGUUACUAUUUUUCGUAUCACCUUUUACUAUUUUCAUAUGCAGAGUAAAGCUAGAUUCGUUUAUCUCUUUGGCUUCAUACAAGGUUUACAUAGUUGAAUAUUCAUCCUGAACUUUGUGAUUAUUGUCCACUUGUCCAGAUAUACUCCAAGUAAGGCUUGGAGUCCCAGAGUCAUCACCAACUGUUACGGGCUUACUACCAAGAGAAAGUUACGCAAACUCGUGAAUAUGGUAAAGUUGUUGUUAAAAUUUUUAUGAUAUGCAUGUACAUAAAACUUUCAAAUGAUUAUUUGAUGAAAAGUGUUUUAGUGUUUACUCUGGUUAAUAAAGUAAUGGCACUGAGAAACAUAUUGGAAAAUGACUUGGAAAACAUAGGGACGGUGGGUGUUAUAGGACCCAACUCGAAUCCGCCAUGUGUAGUCUUGAGUCUUAAGAUUAGGAUUUACCUGAUUCACACGUUGAAAGGCAUUUUGGAGUCCAACUAAGAAAAGGUUAAUUAUAUCCCAACUCCGUAAAUAGUAUGUAGGAGAACUUUUACUUGAUUAGGUAACUGUAAAGUUUUGAGCUACACUCGUGUAAAGCACCUCUGCUUGCUAGUUUCUCGAAAAUGCAAGCUAUUUGGUGACCUAAUCAUGUGGUCAGCAUCUUGGGUUUGCUUAUACUAGUAACCAUUAGUCCAUUAAUUAGUACUUUGAGUUGCCUUUCUUGUAUUAUGAGCAAAAAUGUUUACUACGUGGAAGCUACAGGAUAUGAUGAUACUCUCAGGUUUGAGGACUAGCUCCAGUUACGCUUUUGGGUCCAGUGGAUGUACGAUACCCAUUUUGUGGUCCAAAAAGAAUGAGAUUUGCUGAACGCUCUAGUGGCCAAAUUCAUGUGGCUUCCUUCACUCUACGCCUCUAGAGCUGAAAAGUUAGAUUUCUGUAUAAAAUGCUGGUCCUAGGAUACACUUUUCGCAUCUCUGCCUCUUUCAUUUUUGCUUACAUCGCACUUCUCUUUCCCAUAUGGUAAAUUUAAACUUUGAAAAUGUUUUUUUGGCUUGGUAAUUUGAACUUAACAAUUUUUUCUUGUUAAUUACUAGUUUUUAUGAGGAGUGUAAUGGCAUGUAGAAAUGUUAUGAAAUGAUUUCAUGAUCAUUGAAUUCUAAAAAAAAAAGAUUCAAGGUUCCUUACAUUAGUAAACAUAUCGAGAGAUCUUUAUCCUGCCAAAUUGCCUUUGAGUGCUUUGUUGAUGGAUUUUUUUGGAGAUUUUAAUGUGGUUCGAGUUCAUGAAGAGUAAAUUGUGUAUUGGCCUGUUUCACUUGUAGUUCAAGUAAUAGGUAUGUAUCUCGCUUAUUAUUGCUCUCUGAAAAUCUGCAAGUUCAUUGUUGUUGCGGUUUGGAACUUCUGUCACAUGUGUAGGCCUUCGGAUAACAUGAAACUUGCAUCGAGAAUUUCUGGAGGCAAAAUAUAUUGCUUAUUGUGAUUCAUUUCAACAGAUUGAGGAAAGAAAAGUACAUUGCUUAUUAGUUUUCAUUGUUUAUCAGUUUUUGUGGUUGCUAAUACUUCACUUCUUUCAGAGUUUUGGAAAUCCUAUUUCAUUGCAAAGAGUGAAAAGAGAACAAGAGUCUAGGGACCAUAUAAAGCUUGUAGUUGUACGUUUUGUGCGGAUUCUCCCACUUUUCAUGGCUGUGACUGUGAGCAUCAGAGGAAAAGUGCAAAAGUGCAAAAGUGCAGUGACCUUCGGCUAAAGGUAAUCGCUUUUAUGCACUUUCACGUGAUAUCUCGAAUCCAUCACCAAAUACUGACAUUCUGUUGGCUCUUAAAUUCGUUUGUGCUUCAAGUGGUUGUCUUUGCAUCUUAAAAUUUCCUGACAAGAAAUUUAGUAGAGACUUUACUACUACUUCAAGUUUCCUUGUUGAUGAUAUGCUAGUAUUAUAUGCAACUGGCGAUACCUUUGAUUUGCUUGCUAAUAUUAAUAUGUUUGGUGCAUGAUCAAACCAGAUCGCCGAAUAGGUUUUCUGGUGAUCUGAGAACUUGCUGCUGUAAACACUUUUGGCUUCAGUGAAUGCAUUUAUGUGGUCCAAUACAACAUAUUUUACAACAAACUGAUAGGUAAAUUCAUAUGGAUCUUACACUGACUCAGUUCUGGCUAACAUAGUGGUAGAUAAGUUGAGGUCUAUGGCCCUUUCCAGGUGGCAAAAAGUGAAGGCCUUACAGUGUCACCCUUUUCCUUUCGCUGCCUCGUUAUUCUUUUGUAAAAGUGAGCCAUUAUUCUAAAAGAUAGCAAAAGAAGUAGAUUUCUCAUACUGAAUAUCUUUUAUUCAUUUGGAUGGUCCAUAGGCAUUGACAUAUUCUGCUAGAACUUGGUUGUGAAUGGUGGAGUCUUGUUAGCAGAGAGAACCACGUGGGAAUGGAUUUGGCACCAAUGUUAAUCAGGCAAAAGAAUAUGCUUCAAUGUAAACUAUACCUAGUAGCUUUGUGCAAUAUCGGGGUUAUUGGUUGUUAGCCAUCUGACUCCAACUUUAUCUGAGCACAUUAUGUGAUGUUAUCUUCAUUUUAUUGGAAUUCUUAAGUUUUACAUGUUUAUUACACUAGUCUCUGUAAUCUACUUGGAUUCGCAUGUUGAGUAAAAACCUUAUUUUCUCAGGGAUGGAUGAAAGUGGAAUCGUUUAUAUUCUAGGUGAUCAAGUGUCAGCAAGAAAGGAAUCAAUAGUUAUUUUCGUACAUUUGGAAACGUGUUAAAUGUUCUUGCCUUCUUGGUACAGCCUGCCCAGGUAAACCUUAUCUCUUCAUAGCAUCAAAAUUUGAAUUAGACUGAAUAGCAGAGUUACAUGUGGAUGUGGUGGUAAUAUUUCAUAGAUAGUACGAUUUCUACCAAAGUGGGAAAAUUUUGUUUUAGCUACAGCAGCAAAAUAUGAAUAGAUCUAAUUGGUUGGUACUAGUUAGACAAAACUAUAGACGUAUAUAUGCAUUACAAUGGUAAUAACUAAGCAUGUAAUAUAGCUUUGCCUUAGAAGCAUCAUAAUGAAGGAACAAUUCCAUAUCCGGUAUCAAACGUUAUCGUCGUGGAGAAGGUUUGAUCUGCCUCUGCAUCAGCUUCAUUCCUUUUUGCAAAGCGGCCCUUGAUCCGUGGUCUUUUCUCUGCGUAUGCUUUCCGCGAAGCAUAUCGUAUCGUCUUCUCAAAUUUCCUCAUCUUCUUCUUCUCUCUGUAUCUCAGGACCCUAGCCUCUCUCUCCACUGGACUGAGCAUCUGAGGUGGAGGUUCAGUUAGUUGGUCUGUUACAGCUUUGGGCGAUCUUGGUUGAGAUACUGUUGCAUCACUCGUUGUUGACUCUGGCACAACUAUGAGGUCCAUAGAUGAAACAUGUACCUAAUAAUAGAACAAAGACAAUCUUAGUCAUAUAGCUCAUGGAUUAGUGUGUCUGAUGAAAGAAACAGCAUGCUGGUCAUAGUAAAGAAACUGAAUAAAAUAUGGAAAAGCUUACCAUAUGGCUUAUGGAACCAUUGGAGCUUCGAGGAGCAUAGGUAAUACCCAACUCCAAGUUAUGUUGCCCGUGAUGCAUAUGACCCCUUGAUUCGUCAACUUGAAGUGGAACAACUCCAUCUCCUCUAUAACUCCUCUCAGGUACGUUGCAGGGUUGUUGAUACUGAUUGGAUUGAUCUGUGAAUUGUUUCUCCAUACUUGAACUGUAAUCGACAAGGUCCAAAUACUCGUCACCAAUAGAGAAGUUCUGACUAUGAUUGUUACCAUUGUUUUUCCCUAAAUUAGGAAGCAACCACGAAGCUGCCUCUGCUUCAUCUCUAUCCUCUUCUUCUUGGCCUACCACCAGGCUGUUCUCUGGUUCUGUCACUGUUGUCUCACAUGAAUGGUUAGUCUCCAUGGAACCGUAAGAGUUUCCAGAUAUCGGCAGGAUUGGGACUCGUUGAUGGCGUCUAGCAAGUGGGUUUGCGGAAUGAAUCUCUGAAUCGCAUGCGAUGCAUAGGGAUGCAGCAUCUGCCUUGCAGAAAAAGGCAGCUGGAGCCCGCUCACAUGAUUGACAGACUCGAACACGUUCAUGGCGAGAAGCAAGACAAUUGACAGCAUGAAUCUGAGCAUCACAGCUGGUGCACAAGUAGGCAGAAUCAGCGUGGCAGUACACGGUGCAUGCGGCUGAUCGGCAUGAAUCACAGGCUUGUGCCCAGUUACUUUCUUCUUUCAACAUAAUAACUCAGAUGUAUUAAGUUUGAUGUAGUAAGUAUCUGAAAGCAGGGAGGGACUAAUAAGGCUAUAUUAGUUGUGGAAUGGUAAAGCCAAGGAAGGAUAGAGUGCUGAGGGAUGGACACGUGGCGAGAAGUUUGUGGCCUUGACAAGUUGUGUGAUUUUAUCUUGUGGCUGACUGAGUUUCUGACAAGGUUUAUGUUUGGGGUCCAGUCCACAGAUGCUUACAGCUUUUGGAAUCAUCAACCCAUCAGGAAAAUGUGAACAAAAAACUCAUUGUCUUCUUAUAUCUUUGCAAUGGAGAAGGAAGCUACACCAAUAGUUACUACUUACUACUCUCCCUCUCUCUCUCUGUGUAAACAGCUCUACCUAAGGUUAUCGGACCCAUCCACAUGUUGCCAUCAAGGUUGCAACUUCUAACUAUUUUCGUCUUAUCUACUACUAUUUUUGGUAAAGUUAGAAAGAUAAGAAGUAGCUCUUUGGCUUGACCAUUAGCCUUUUUAGUUGAAUGUUUAUCUUGAUUCUUCACUUCUGUCAUGUUUUAACCGUUCAGGUUUCUCUCCAAAACAAGGCUUUUAGUCUCAGAGGCUUUGGGGUUACUUACAAUCAUGGUUCCACAGGUGAUCGUUGCUGCACCUUUUCUAAUAAAGAUUAUAAUCUUCUGAGGGAAAGUCUUUAGCAUUGUUAAGAAAGUAAUGACUCUGUAACCAUUAGGUGCUAAAUGUAUCUUUGUAUGAUGAUUAUGUGGGAAAUAAUGUAAUAUAGUCUGUCCUAAAUUUGUUUGCUUCUAUAUUAGGUCGGUCAAGCCGACGUGACAUAACGGUGGAGAUCCUAAGAGCCAAUUGGAAUCUACCAAGUAGCUUCGAGUCAAAAGAUUAGGAAGAACAUGAGCCACAAGUUGAAGCAAAUGGUGGGUCAGUCAAAAGAUGAAUAAGGUUGGUUAUAUCAACAUCACCGAUGGGUCUGUUUAUACAAAAACCAAUUUGCAUAUGAUCACCAUCAUAUUCAUAGUAACAAAACAUGCACAAGUCCAUCAGCGUUUGUCACAUCUCUGUCACCUUUUGGGAAUAUGAUAAAACUCGAUAUUAUCAAUUUUGGCUUUAUUAGAUUUCAAACUUGUGGAAUUAAACACAUUGAUGUGUUCAAAACUACAUGGGUCAAAUAAAAUUUGGUGGAGGACGAUGCAAAUAGCAAUUUCAGAAGUUAACGGCAUUAAGUCACAAACCGAAAACAAAACACAACUGUUUCAUUAGUUAAUUAAACAACUACUGUAUCUCUUGCGUCUUAAGAGUUAAAACAAACCAUAAGAUUAGGAGUUUGCAAUCCGUAAUAGUGAAAUGCCGGAAUAAUCUAACUGACACUUUUAGUUAGAUAGAUAAGCUAUUUUGCUCUUGUUGAUUAAGAUUCUGAGUUACAAGGGAAUAAGUUUUAGCUUCAAGUACAGAAAAGGUAAGAGUUUCUAUUUAUAUCUAAGGAACAAAUUGAAUUACAGAAAAAGAAAAGUGAAAAUACAGGGCAACUAACGAAGAUACAAACUGAUAAUUAACAAAUCAAGCAAGUGGUAUUUUGGCAGUCAGAAAGGGCUAACCUCACGAGCCAGUUUCAGCAACAAUUCUGGGACAAGACGCUUUCUGGGAGGAGCCAAUGAGUCUUUGGUCAGAGCAUCAUUGUCCUCCGCGUGUAUUACAGAGACUAUGUCAUCAAACAGUUCGUCUUUACCGCCUCUUAAGGGAUCCUAUAAACAAACACUCUCAUGAGUCUGUUAUUACCACACUGAGCUAAGUGUUUGUGCGUGUGACACAAUAUAAUGUAGUUUCUGUACACAAUGUAAGGUAGUUUCUGUGGCCUACCUGAAGAAAUAAGUCGGUAUGUGUCUUUCCACUAUAUAAAACAAGCUCGGCUUUGGCUCCAACAGUUUGGAGAGCGUCUGUAAAAGUUUUGCUGCAAAAAGAGGAGGUUUUAGUUCAAUCAUAGGAUAUAUUAUCCAUGUAUGGCUUCAAGAGGAUGAUUAUAUAUACCUUGCAUCACAUGGUAUUGAAUUAUCUGAAGAUCCAUGAAAAAGUAUUAUAGGAGGCAUCAGAGACGCAGCUUUUCCAACAAUUGGGUCUUUCAAUCUUACUUCCGGAGAGAAUUUUUCAAAGGACUCUUCUCCUUCCAUUAUGCUACAAGUUGGAAGUUGAACAUUAGAUAAAAUUAACACAUCAGACUACGUUUGGGAUUUGAAUAACCGAGCAUUUACCUUAGGAAAAUAGAGCGAUACAGUCCCCGAUUGUGGAAGUGAUCAACCAAAUUGUAUAGAUUGUACCUGUUCAAGUUCAAAAUGAUAAGCAGAUCAAUUGCUGUAUACCAAAUGGGGAAUACAAAAGCAAAGAUUAGAAGUUACCCUCCAGAUAAUCCGAAAUAAGCUUUUAUCUGGGAAACCCUCCAGGAGAUGCUCUCUCCUUUUGAUUCUUUAGUAGCUUGUUCCAAUAAAGCACAAGCGGCUAUAUGGGCACCAGCUGAUUGCCCCAUUAGGUAGAUCCUACAGAGACAAGCACAUACAUGAUGUUCAAUAAAAGAGAGACCGAUUGGGAGAUCAAAUGGUACAUAAAAAAACAAAGCCAGUGAGUUGAAACCUGUUGGGGUCACCUCCAAAUGCAGAGAUGUUAUUGCAGACAAAUGAGAUCCCUUGAGAAGUAUCAGUCACCAUAUCACUAAUUGUUCCCUGAGGAAAGUUCCUAAAGACCCAAAGGAAGGGAUUUUGCUUAGUAAGUGCAUGAAACAAAUCUAGAUUUUCAAAUCAUCUUCAUAUCCCAAAAAGCUCCAAACAGAGCUAAAAGAUUUUCGAUUCUGUGUGGACUAUAUACCACAUUCCUAGAAUCCAGAGUAAGGAAUCUAAGUUAAAAGAGAACUAGUUUUGAAUUGUGUACAAUCUUUACCUGUAGUCAAGGCAUGCUACAAUGAUAUCCCUUUCUGCUAGUUGCAUUCCCAAGAGCGAGCCCCAAGCUUUGUACCUAAAUAUCAGCAAAAGUAUCAGCACAGAGCACCUCAGGAUCUUUACUUCUUCUUCUUUCUUUUUAAACUCAAACAUCAACAAAAGAACAGUGAGAGGAACACUGGAACUGGGACACGAGAAAUUGUAAAAUAAACGAACUUCAAUCUUAUGCAGUAGGAGAAUGUCGUAACUCCGAUGUGCAACUCACCCAAUAAUCCAAGCUCCACCGGUCACAAAAACCACAACUGGCUUCAUGCCAUCAUUGUUGCUCGGUAAGUACAAAUCCAGCCUACCAAAUCCCAGUUCAUAACAUGCAAUACAUCAAAUGUUUUCAGACAGAGGAGAUGUGAUAAGGGCAGGCAUUCAACAUGCCAAGGUGAAAGGAGAAGACAAGAUUCUAUGAAGUUAAACACACAAACCUGUUCCUUGGUUGAUCUCCAUACACUAUACUCCUCCGGAUUUGUGAAGAGAAAAAAUAUAUAUAUGCAACUGCAGAAAAAUAGACAAACUUAGGAUGAGAAAUCAAAACUAAUUUUCCAAUAAUAAAAAUCAGUCCUUUCCAUGAAUUUUCUGUAUAUCAGUAAAAAGACAAAACAAAAACCAAACCUUGAAGAAAGCCAGGCAUAAGCAACAUAGCAUAACAUGUAAGGGCAAAUAACCUUGUCAUCCAUCGAUAGCCUACCCUGAACAAAACUUAACCAUCAGAUAAAUUCGUGCUGAAAUGGAAUUAAAAAAAAAACAGUACUUUAGAAGUCAACAGAUAUAUGAAAGUAAAAUAACAUUUUUUCAAGGCUUGCAAGAUACAGGACAGGGGAACUAAAUGCGAAUCUCUAAAACUUAGCUAUCAAACGUGAAUCAGACACAACACAGAAACAUAUAUCUCACUGUUUUUCUUUGAAGAGCAACAAAAAUCAGAUAUAUAAAAUGAUUAAACAGUAUCGUGCACACAAUGCUCAAAGCCAGCUAAAACGUCUAAACAAUUCACGAGUUCCUUGUGUGUAAUCAUCAAUUAACCGGGAACGAAGAUAAGUACCCGAGGUAACGUAGAAGCUUGAAGCUAAGUCUAGUAAUCAGGUACGUCUCAGCUGCCGCGUGGCCAAUUUCGCGGCCAAACGACUGCUGCCGGCAAAUCCGACGAUUUCCUCCGUCCACCGCAAACUUUCCGGUAACUCGACGACGCAUUUGUUCACCGUUGAGAAGAGUCGUUCUAUCGGAGUCUUCAUCGGGUAGAACUUCCUCGAUCUCCGAUACAGUCGAGGUCAUCGGCCGGCAUCGCUGCUCCGGCUGCAUCUUCAACGCUGUGAAAAGAGCGGAUCUCGAUUCCGAAACUCUUCUAACACUUUGUUUCUUCGUGUUCUGUCGUGUUGUUGGUUCUUUUUCUUCUCUAAUUUCAAACUUGUUUUUGAUAUCUCAGCUUUUGUGCGCUUUUCGCUUCCCUUCUCCAAGAGGAAAUAUUAUAGUGUGUAUUGACGAUUAUAAACCAAAAAAAGUUGACGAAGACGACGUCGUUUCUACCUCGUAUUAAAUUACCUUUGAUCAUGUAAUGAUGAUUUUAAAGAGAAUCACAAAUGCGAACACCACAGUUAAUGAAUCUUUAAUGUUAAAUUUAUUGAAUUUUGUGUCAUAAAUUUAUAAUAAAAACUUUCCAGUGGUGACGACUUGGAGGCUAGUGUAUCUAGCAAAUCAGGGGCUUAAGAUGUGUCUCACCACGUUCAGAAAAGGCCAAACUAGUGGGUCAAGUAUGACGAAUAUUUCAGAAUCUUUGAGAAAGUUCGACGAAUCAUGUGACGCAGUGGGCAGUGGCACACCCACCAACUACAGACCAUACCAUUUGUUGCUAAAAAAAAUUGUUUUUCUUUUGCAUCAACAUGGUUUAUUGGUAUUAUAAACUAUACAAGCAUCAGAAACGUAGUGAAACUAAGUUUUUUAUUCUCAAAGCAAACACAAACUAAUCUAUUUUCGUUUAGGUCGUUGUUUUAUGGCCUUAGUGCAAAUGGAUUCUUCAGCAGAUCAACUAACUUUCUAGCUGUUAGUUUACUGCUGCCUCAACUCUGUAAAUCUUACAUCUAAAGUAUAUAUACCAGGAGGCAACAUUACCGCUUUCUCAAAAGCCUUUUUCAUGAUUCUCAAAUUAAUCACAGAGUUUCUACAUUUGGAUUCUCUGCUUAAACGCUUCAACGUUGAAGGCUUGAAUCUAUUGAGAAUGCUCUGCAUGCUGCUGAUUAGCCCUUGCCACUGUCUGAAGAUGAAAUAAUAAGAAAAUGAGAUCCUAGUACAUUAAUCAAACAGAUUCAUUACGCAUAAUCUCUCAUGGGUGAUAUUUACCUGAAAUGCUGGCAGAUGUGGUGCAUGCAAAAGCUGGAUGUAUGGAGUGAAUUGCUUACUGAUAUUGAAACACUUUGUCUCACCUAUCUUGAUUGUGCAUCACCUAGCUUUUGCCUUUUGAUGGCUUGAUUUUCUGAAUCAGACUAAUAGUGUUAGCUACGUUUUUAACACUUGUUUCCCUGCAGUGAGAUACAUAACACAUAAAACCGCAUUACGAGAGGAACAUGAGACCAAAGUUAAGUUCAGACGGAUUCUUCAGCCUAGUUUGUUGCUUCUUAGGGUCCAUUGACUUUCCUCCUUAACAAUGAGAAGAAAGUAAAUCUCUAUAUAUCUCCAUCAUCUAGAGAAGCAGCAACAGCAAAACUAAAAAAUCUUCAUUAUCAUCAAGACCAUAUAUACAAACAAAAUUUAUAUGCAAGUAAGCAAAACAUUCAAAUGAGAGAUCACUUACAGUGCAAGAAGAGGCUUUUACCAUCGUUAGGUCAUAAUCAAGCUUUUGUCUUUUUUAUCGCUUUGAUUUUCCUGAAUCAGAUUGGUAGUGUUAUUUUGAAUACUUGUUUCCGUCAAAGAAUCAAGACAUUAAAGAACCUAAUCAACACAUUUAAGUCAAUGAUGAGGUUUAAAGAGUUUCAGGCAUGUAGUGAGAUCAUGCUGAACUUUUAACCAUUAAGCUUACUUGUCUUGAUUUUGAAUCAUCUAGCUUUGCCUUUUGAUAGCUUCAUUUUCCUGAAUGAAUUUGGCAGAGCUAGCUAUGUUUUUAACACUAUUUUCCCUGCAGUGAGGCAAUAAAGGCCCAAAAAAAAAAACAUUACUAAAAGUAGGAACGUGAAACCAGAUUUAUGUAUCAAAAUGGUUAUUGGUUAUUAAUUAUGAAUGUGAGCUACCUUUUUAAAACUUUAUGAUGCCUGCCAUUGGCUUGAGACAGUUGUGACUGGUUUGACUGGUUUUUUGGCUUGAGUGCAGACGGAUUCUUCAUUGACUGUAGAUUAACCAUCUUUUUAGCAGUUUGCAGCUACUUAAGUUCCAUUGACUUAUCUCCUGGAGAAAACAGCACCAUCUUAGAAGUUAAUAAAAAAAAAGAUAAGAUAAGAGAAAAGUUAAAAGGAACCAGAGCGUACCUCAAUUGUUUAUUACCUGUGGAAGAGAGUUAUUGGCAUGAAGCAACAAAGAAAACAAUAAAAAAAAUAUCAAAUUGACGUUGUUAUCGUAAGGCUGUUUCUGUUGGUUCUACAUCUUCUUCAUUCUUCAAACCAUACCAUAUCUCCGACCUGCACAAAAGUAUAAAAUUAGAAGAAGCUUUGUUAAAACAAUAGCCUAAACGAAAACAAAUUUGAGGAAGUGGACAAGAUGUUGUUACUGUAAGAACACGCCGGCGAUCUUUUCGGUGUUUUGAAUCUACUUUGUACUUCCUUGAAAAAAUCUGAGUCAUCGUCCUAGUUGGAACACGAACAAAGACACACACACAAACACCUGUUGCGCUGCACCCAAAAAAGAAACAACAAAUCCAUUAAUUAAUAUCUCAUAUGCAAAAACAAACUCUUCUUUCAAAGGCAAAACAUCAACACCACCUUUUGUUAUGAAUCUUCUUCAUUCUUCAAACCAUAUCACAUCUGCACAAAAAUAUAGAAUAUCAGUCACAUUCUCAUCUAAUAUUGAAAACAAAGAAAACCGCAAAUUUGAGGAAGCGGACAAGGGAAGAGGAGGUGCAGAGUCAAGACAAAGACCUAUCUAUACCUUUAAAUCGACCAGUUUGAUGUUGUUACUGUAAGAAAAGAACAUGCCGACCGUGAUUGUUCUGAAUCUACUUCAUCAUACUUCAAAACAUUAAUCUGAGUCAAAUAAAUCAUCGUCCUUCUUGGUUGGAACACGAACACACACCUGUUUCACCCAAAAGAAAUACACAAAACAAACCCAUUAGAAAGCAAGUUCGACUCUCUUUUAUGGAAUUAGAAAGACCUAGAUUAACUUCUCAUCGAUAAGUUUGAUGUUGUAACUUAUUGUAAGAAAGCCGACUACCGUUUUUGUUUUGAAUCUACUUCGUCUUUGUAAACAUCCGAGUCAUCGUCCUGGUUUGAACACGAACACGCACCUGUUUCGUCUCACCCAAAAAGAAACAACAAACCCGUUAAUUAAGAUGGUACAUACAAAUACGAAAAGUUUAUUUCAAAAGCAAAAUCGAUCCAUAGGGUUAGAAAGAUACCUCUUACUCGUUUUGCUCUCUCGUCGCCAUUUAAUCUGUGAGAAAAAAAACUCGUUAUUUCAAAAGCAAAAACAUUCACACGAAAUCAAAUCGAUUCAUAGGGUAAGAAGAAUACGAGAAGAUACCUCUGCGCCUUCAUUUAUGUUGGCUCUCUCUCGUCGCCAUUAGAAUCUCUAUAUCUCUCUCUCUCCCGCUGUGUCUCUCAGUCUCUGAAGAGAAUGUGUUCUAGUUUUAAUUUCUACUGGAUUAAGAAACUCAAGAGUAAUCAGUCUCUAUUUAUAAACAGAGAGGUGUCGACCAAAAUUAAACAACAGAAAAUUUCCUUUUUAUAAGAAAAGGAAAAAGGAAAUUGUUAAGUUGGAAAAAAAGGAAAUUCUUUUUACGUUUAUUGAUUAAUGUUAUAAAGAAAAAAGGAAAUUGUAAAGUUUGGUUUUUAAUUAAAAAAAAAAAGGAAGUUGAUGACAAAAAUAAAAAAAGGAAAUUGUUAAGUUUGGUUUUAAUUAUAAAUAAAAAAAAGAAAAUUCUUACGUGUCAUAAGAAAGGAAAUAUGUAGUAAGAAAAAAGGAAAUUACUUAAUCAAAAACACACCGCAUAGAUAGUGGACUUUUUGUUGUUUGUUAAGCCGUGGGCUUUCUUUUUAUAAUAUACUAAUUAUAAGUUAUUCCUUUUUAUACAUACAAUAUGAAAGAGGGCCACAAUGAUCGAUUUUGAAACCAUGUUUAUUUUAUAAAUCAAAUAUUAUAGUGAAGGUUCAAGUUUAACAAACCAAACAACUUUUAAUUAAAAGCUUAAUUACAAUAAUGACCAAACGAGCAAUACUUCCCACCACCGUCGUGACCGCCGUAUCCACCUUCAUCGUCGUCUUCAGUGAAGUCAUCAUCACCACUCUUUCUACUGUGAAUCCACCACAGCAGAUUAGUCAAAGAGUUCCCAUCAUCAUGCCCUUUUAAUCCUUUAACCUUCUCUAUCGCUCCAUCUUUGUCGUAUAUACUUUCCAAAGCAUACACAAAUCCUUUCCACCCUUCUCCAACGCCUUCUCUCGCCAACGCGGGCAUAGUCCAGUUCACAAGCUGCUUCGUGAAUGUCACAUCGGAGAACAGAACUUCCGACACCGGAAGCAACGGUAGUAACUGUAUCCCAAGGCGACACUCUUUCCACUCCUUUGGCGCGAACCACAAGCCACUGUCUCUCUUUGUUGACCAUAAAAUUCCAACCACACGAUUCUCCGCUGUGAAAUCUUGAGGGUAUAUAGUGUCGUCCUCUUUCACCUGCGCCACCACCAAGAGCAAAAAUUUAGUAAUCAAAUUAAUACCAACGUAACAUGAAUAGGUUUAGUAACCAAUCGGACCUUUAAUUUCUUUAAAAUGCUUCAAAGUUCCAACUUUAAAAAGUUAUAAAAUCAAAUUUCUGUCAAAAUCGAAACUAAACCAAAUAUUAUUCAAUUUCCAUGUGGUUUCCCAAUUUAUAUGCCAAAAACAUUUUAAACCAAAAUGAUAUGACUAAAACCGAACCAAAUAUAAAACCAAAUUCCGGUUUUCAGACUGAGCAUUCUCAAUUCGAUGCGGUUCAAUUCCAUUAUUCGGUUCGGUUUUGUUUAACAAGAUUAAAAUAAUAUUACCUGCCACCACAUUUUCGCGGCGUGAAUCUCUAACGUCAGAACCGUCGAAGCCGCCGCCACGAGAUGUGUAUCACCGUAAGCUAGCCCCAACAAAGCAGCAGAGUAAUACGCGUUCACGGCCUCGCUCGUGCUCUCUUGAUUCCUCCCAUCAGCGAACUCAGUCAACCCUCCAGCCCAUGAAUGAAGCUUGAAAAGAUCAAAGCAUCUCAAACGCGGGUAAUUAGAAUUCGAAUUCGACUUGGAACCAGCUCCCUUCUUCCCCAAUGUCAUGUAAUCCGCAAUUAAAGAAUACGCUGGAGGUUUGUAUCUCUUCCCCCACAAAGGAUCAAUCUUUGCAAGCACAGCAAUCGCAUAAACAAAGUAACCUAAAUGAUAGUGAUGAUCAUUGUAAAUCCCGAACCCAAAAUCAGCUCCUGAGUCUCUCGAUCCUUGCUUAGUAAUCACACCUCCCCAUUUAGGAUCAUACAAGAACCCAUUUGGUUUAAAGUUCCCGUUAAGCCACGGUUCGAUCAUGUUCUUCAAGUAAGUUUUAAUCGCUGGAAUCACAUCGAGAUAACAAACUUCUUCAGCGAUCAAAGCUAACCUCGCAGCUCUGGCGAUCAACUUCGCGUAAAAGUAGGACGAAUCCGUCACCGGAGCUGAUGAAUCUAGAGCGUUAACGUCUUUGAUGAGAGCUGAGAUGAUCUCUUGGUGAGCAUCUUCUUGAACUCCUUUGAUAGAGUGCCACGUUACAGAAACAGGGUCUGGUUUCAAAACCCAUGAAUCUCCGACGACACCUACCAAAUCUCCGUCGAUGCUGUUGUAUCUGAUAUUGUCUAGAACUGUGAUUGAGCAGUCGUUGUGUGAUAAAAGCUUGAGAUGAAGGGGAUGAGCGAGCAUUAGGAGAUCUCCAUAGCCUCGUUUCUCCCAUUUAUACUCUAAAGCAAAGGGCUUUGUGAAAUCAGCGUCACCGGAAACCGGGUAACAGCAAGCGAAUCUGUCGAGGGUUGAUUCGAAAUCUGGAUUUGGACUCGGUAACACGGCGAUACGGAUAAUACCCGAGAACCCACCACCGCAAUUGAUCGAAGAGACGCCGCCUUUGGUCAGAUUGAUCGGUGAAGAGGCGUAGAUUAGCCAUGUCUGGUUGUUGUUGAGCUUUACGGUGUACUUCGUGGAUGAGGUGUUACCGGAAAGAGAUAAAACCGCGUGGAUCGUUGAGAUUGUGAUGGAGGAGUUAACGGAGCAGGUGAUGAAAGGGCUUCCUCUAACGAGGAAGAAUCUGAGAUUAGAGGAAGGGAAAUCGAGCGUGACGCCGAGAUCGCUGAAGGAAGAGAUCAGAUGAGUUUUUCGAGAAUGCGGGUCGGGUCCGUCUGAGCCGGUGAUGGUGAUGUCUGCGUUGAAAGCUUCGUAGAUGAAAGCAGAGUUGUGGGAGAGAGUUGGGUAUGAGAUGGAGAUAGAUGAGACCGAUGGUUUGAUGAUGUAAGGGUGAAAGUACUCAGCUUGGUCGCCAUUUUUGAGAGUGAAGUUUUGGAAGAAGGAGUUUGUAGGGAGAGGAGAUGAGAGGAGAUCGUGGCUGAAGAAACGAGACGGGUCGGGUAAAACAGAAGAACUGGAUCUAGGGAAGAGAAACGGAGUGUUUCUUUGUUUUGAGAAAGGCAUUUCUUGAGGCGGUGGAGAUGGUGAAGGAAGAGGUGGCUCUGUUUCUCGUGGUGGUGAUGGUGGUCUUAGAGGCCUGUUCUUUGGCCUUUUAAAGGGUUUUGCGAUUAACACUUUGACUUUUCGCCUUACCUUUUUCAACAUUUUGCUUAGUCAACAGGAGAAAGAGAUAACGACAAAUUUGGAAAAAUGAGUUCUCAAAAGUAAAGGGGGGGAUGGUUUUAAACUGUUAAUUCAUUGUUAGACAAUUGUGGGGUUUGUUUGUUUAUUAGAAAAGGAUAUAGAAAUUUUGUAAAAUUUAUGAUAGAUGUUUGUUUCCAAGCUAAGGUUUUGGGAACGUGCAGGAGACUUGCUAUAGAUGCUAAACGUAUAGAAGAUAUUGAUACAUGCCCAAAUGAGAAAGCAAGUGGAAAAAAGAACCCAUUACUAACUAAUAAUAUGGCUGUGAUCACAAUAGUUUUCUAUGAAAGUAAGUUGUAUUUUUGUAACAAACAAAUGUUUAGUACCAACUUAAGUGGGAUGUGUGUGGAAUAUUACAUGUUUGAUAUGGAUUGGUUAUUUUUUUCAACAAAUUCCAAAUUUGGUGGAUGACUUUGGAGCAUGCUUGAGGUUUGUGAUUUGAUGUUUUGCUUAGCAAAGGAGAAAGAGGGUUGAUUGCAAGCAAUGUAAUAUGCGUGGCAAUGCAUAUGGACAAUUGGACACGGUUUUUUUUUACAUCGAUAUGGACAAGAUUUUUGUAUUAUUUGUAAGUGCUUAGAUAAAUGUUGCUUCAAUGCAUUUCUUAUAGUAUGAAUUGUUAAUAAAAAUUAUUAGUAAAUUAUUACUGGUAAAAUUUUCUAUAAAAACUUUAUUAAGAAUUUAAAAUCUUUAUUAAACGGUUAAUUAUAAAAGAAAAUUAUUUGUUAAAUUUUGAUUUGAUAUAGAUUGGGUUUGAUGUUUGAUAGACAAGGCCUUUUUUAAGGCCCAUAUAUAGGAUGGAUACUAGAAAAUAGAAGCCAUUUUGAAUGUUAACCGAACCAACAAUAGAAUUCACCUUUACCAAACUGUCCCGGUUUAAGCACCAACCGCUUCGGUUUAGCUCUGUGAUCGUUCUGCGAGUCACCAAAGACACAGAGAAAGGGAGGAAGACGAAGAGACGAGAUAUGGCCGGACUUUUAGCUUGGGCCGCCGAUGUCGUCGGUAAAAAUGGAAAAGAAGGAGACGAUGAGAAAGAUCGGAUCCCACUUGUUUUCACGGAGGAGCAGCAGAGAUACGUCGACGAGCUUGGCCGGAAAGCGACAACCCUCAGCCGUUCGAUCCAAGAUCUAAGGCUUAGAUUGCCUCCACCGGAUAUCUCCCAGCGUCUGCCUCACCUUCUUGCUCACUCCCUCGCCUCCAAUGCCGCUCUCACUCUUCAGCUUGAUUCGCAUUCCGCUACUCGUGAACAGGUUCGAGUUUCUGAAAGAGUGAAGCUGAUUAUGGAAUCGUGUGUUUGCAUUGUAGUAUUAGUCUUGAAAUGGAUAUGGCUUUUUUUUUUUUUCAGAAAUGAUCCAAUUUACUGAGGGAAACAUUUAUGUAUCCUCAUGGUUCUUCUUUUGGUAUUGCAAUUAGGCUCAAAUGAGAGAGCAGACGCUGCUGGAAGAAAACAGUACAUAUGAGAAUGCAAUAUCAAAUUGUGAGACCAAAAUAGAAGAGAAAAGGAACGAAGCAGAUUCUCUUCUUAGAAAGUUGAAGGUGAGUUACCAGAUAAGAGACGUUUUCUUGUUCAAAUUUGGAUUGUGGUUCUUUUCUUGUCUAUGAUCUUGUUUAGGUGUGAACGUUGCUCUUGUUACCAUUUGGGGCCACGGUCUGAUAUAGUAUGGUUUGUAGGAGCUCGAAGAUGUAGAGGAGAACUUGAGAAAUGAGCAGGAAGAUGAACAAGCUUCUCUAGAAGCAAGUCAUUCCAAAAGCUCUGGUGAAUCUGUUAUUCAGGGUGAUAGGAAUGGAAAAGAUGGAGCAGAUACAGAAGCUAUGAAAUCUGUUAUGCUAGAGAAGUUGGAGGGGAAAAAGAAUGAUUUGGUUAGUUUUCAUUUUACCUUUAAGGGUAUAGAAUUCUCUAAUCCUGGCCGUAUAUCUAACGGCAGUGUUAAGUUAUAUCUUCCUUUUAGAGUUUAAUGGAAGAAAAGGUUCAGAAUUUAGAGAGGAGUUGGGCUGUUAUACAGGAAAGAGCACUGAAGCAGCCUUCUCCAGGUACUUUUUGUCAUCAAAUCUGAUUAGAUGUUAAAUUACUAAUUUUUCAUCAUUCAAAACCAUCAUGUCUUCAACAUUUAUGAAACCAAAAAUCUUUGUUAGAUAGCUUAUUUUCAGUAAGAAUCCGAUAGAGAUUUUGUUAUUGGUUUCGUUAGAUAGGUUGAUAGUGUGAAAAAUGUUCAUUCACAUUAUCUGACUGGAAAUUUUAUGCUUUCACAGGUCAGAGAGAGAAGACACUGGAUAAACAACUUCAUAGUCUAAUCGAACAAUUAGCUGCAAAGCAGGUCCAUCUCAAGCCAAAUUAGUCUGCACUUUUACUUUAGACGGUUUCUUAACAGAAACUUUUGAUAUGCCUAACAGGCACAAGCAGAGGGGAUUGUUGGUGAGAUUCAUUCGAAUGAGAUGGAGUUAGAGAGACUAAACAGUUUGUGGAGAAGGUAUGAGAGCUUUAACGUUGAGGGGAACGCUGCAAGGAACAGAUUUAAGAGAACAAAUUCAGAUAGAGGAUUUGGUUCAGACCAGGAAGUUGAUGGUCAUUCCUACCUUCCGUAUACAUCUGCUACAAGAAAUGAGACCCAAACGAGGCUUAUGUAUCUCAGGUCAGCUUUUGUCAUCUACAUUUUGGCUUUGCACGUCCUGGUUUUCAUCAAAAUAUCCUUUUAAGAAAUUGUGUACACGAGUGCUCUCUUGUGAUUUUAGUUUGCACAAAGGGGUCAAAAUACUACAUAUAAAGUUUAUAGGAAUACGAUAAUUGUUCUCAAAUGAUUUACUGUCCUUCCAUAUAGUAUAUGGCGAUUGAAUUCUGAGACUUCUGCAUGAUUUUUUCUUUACAUUUUUUCUUGAUUUUAGAUAUUGGUCUCUUCUACUCAUUCUUGAGGGAUGCUUUCUAGUUCUCCGUCUUCAUCAUUUGUAGUAAAAUAUCAUUCCAAUUAUCGAUAGGUCCAGGCAGGCACCAAUGAAUACAGUCAUUUCUUAAAGUCACCUCCGCAUUCUGUAGAUGGCCAUAUCUCCCAGGAUGCCCAUCUGGUCGCAAUAGCAUUGCCUGUGUCAUGUCCAUUAAUUGUAGUCUCAAACCCUUCUUCUUCCUCCCUUCUUCUUCUGCAGCUCUAAAUUCCUCCAGUUGAAUGUCAUGAACCUUGAGAUCUGCACCUUCGGCUAUAGUCUCAUUUCUUCUAUAAGGUCGUGUCCUUACACAGUCCCCUCCCUUGUUCCAAGGCCCACCUUCGAAAUGCUGAGGAGAAAAAGUCCUUAAAAAUGCCAGACCCUUGAAUUUUUCGAGUAUAGCUUUUAAAGAUAUUCUUAAAGCCUUCCUGUAUCCAUAGUCCAAAGGCAAUUCAGUAGUGUUUGGUAACCCACAGUAUUGGCACCCAGAGAUUUGUCGAUUUUCAUAGAAAAUAACCGGUCGGUAAAACCAGUGGCCGGAUGAUAUAACCAGGUAGUCGAGGUAGUCGAGCUGACUCGUCCACUCAGUGUCAUACUCGUCGAGGUACAGGUUGAAGAAGUUGGACUUCGGAUCUGUAGGGUCAAGUUUAGUAGACUUCACUAGAAAUGGUGACCACAUGGCAUGAAGAGUAAAGUUAUAUGAUGUGUAAUUCCAUACUUUGAAAUCUGUAUUUGGUGAAGGAGAAAUAUCUUCAGGAUAUUCUACCUACAAGGAAAUCAAACAAGCCAACACUUAGAGAGACGUUGGUUAGUUGGUGAUCAUUGGCAAUUAGAUUGGACUUUUUACCCUAGAGAGAAGGCACAAGAGAGAUUGCACUUGAUUUCUGCUAAUGGAAUCACCUACAAACCCCAUGGCUUUCCCUCUCACCAUUUCCAAGAAUACUUGAGGAUCAAUAAUGGGGAGGUCGCAGCUGUCCGGCUUCCAUCUCCAUCUCAUGAACCCAGUGUCUGGUCUCCCAUACUUAAUGCAGUUCUGGUGAUCAUGUAUUGCCCAACAAGUCAUGUUGGUGUAGUAUGGAGCUUCUUCGUUUGGCACCCAUUCCCCGGAAAAAAGAUCACACUUUUGCUCAUCAUCUCUGAUCCGCGUCCUUGCUGGUGAUGUAGUGACCGGGGAUGAAUGAUCAUCAGAUGAUGAAAUCUGAUUGGAUGAAGAAUUCCGAUGCCUUAAAGACAAAUGAUUGAGUGGAGCAGGAAUCGGACUACUCUUAGGUGAAAGAAUCUGAUUGGAUGAAGGACUUUGUUGUGUUAAAGGUGUGGGAUUGGUUGGAGAGGGAAUGGGACCACUCUCAGGUGUAGGAAUCCGAUGGAAAGAAGAUUUUCGAUGUCGUGAAGGCGUAUGGUUGGGUGGAGCGGGAAGGGGUGAAUGAAUCUGAUUUGAUGAAAAAUUAUGAUUACUGUAAUGUAUAUGGUUGACUGAAGGGGAACGAUCUGUUUCAGAUGAUGAGAUUGAUAGAGGUAAGAUUGGAUUUGCGAGUAGAGAAUAUAGAGCAGGGACUAUAGUGAGGAGAAAUAGAACAAAAGCUAAUGUAACUGCAACUCGUGGUGUCCUUUGAAGGAUUGCAAACAAAGGAAGCUCCAUUGUCUGCUUCGAGACAAUGGUGUCCGGGAUGAUCAUAAAUAUGUAUGUAUAUAUGGUGUAUAAUGGUGAGCUCGUGGUCAUCCAGUAACUAGGCACAACAGUUGACCAUGUCGUUAAAUAUAAUUAAAUAAACCAGAGAGAGAGAGAGAAGCAGAAGACUUAAUUUGGCUUGGUCAUAACUCAUUAGGACAACAUCUUCCGAACUUGAGCCAGUAAUCCUUUGUCUUCUUCUCUCUUUAGCAUAGCAAGCAAGAAGUCAUUAAGGUUAUCAAUAGGACCAGGCAAGCACCAGUGAACACAAUCGUUGUACAAUGUGACAUUGGUCUCUGGCAUAUGGCCGUAGUGGCUCGGGUGACCAUCGGGUCUUAGCCACAUUGCUUGGGUCGUAUCUAGCAGUCUUAACCUCUUCCCUUUCUGCUUCGCUUCUUCUUCAGCUCUUUGAAACUCUUCCAACUGAAUCUUGUGUAGCAUCAUUGUCGUUUCAUCUUGAGUCACGUCGCUCUUAUAAGGUUGUUUCCUCAAACAAUCUCCUCCUUCGUUCCAUAACCCGCCUUCAAAAUGUGAUGGUGCAAAAGUUCGUAAAUACAUUACCCCUUUGAAGCUUUCCGAGUCCAAGACCGCUUUCAACGCUGUUCUAAACGCUUUUCUAUACCCGUAAAACAUGGUGAGAUCGGUUAUGUUCGGUAAUUGACAAUAAUGGCAACCAACGACUGACUUGUUUUCGUAGUAGAGCGAUGGCCGGUAAUGCCAAUGGCCAGAGGAGAUGAUAACGUAGUCAAAAUCUCCUAUAUCUGCUGUCCAAAUCUCGUCCGCCUCAUCAAGGUAUAGAUCAAAAAUAUCAGUAUACUUGGGAUGGGUCUUGCCGGGUUCUGUGGACUUUACCAAGUGCGGUGUCCAAAAUGCGGCCAUAGUGAAAUUGUAUGUCUCGUAUGUCCAUCGUCUGAAAUAAUCGUCAUCCUUAACCGAAGCAUCCACCGGAUAUUCAACCUGCAAUGCCAAAAUCUAGUUUAAUCUCGAGAAACUAAUAAGUAAUUCAUAUGAGGAAUUUUCUAAUUCGAUAAGAUGGAACUAAAACGAACCAAAUCGUACCAUACAAAACUUGAAUUUCUUUUGAUUAAGAUAAAAACAAAAGGAAACAUUAUGAUUAUUCUUUUUUUUUUUGGACAAACUAUUAUGAUUAUUCUUUGAAACCAACUUCUUAAACAAAACCAGUUCAGAUAAGAUUCGAUUAAUCAAUCAAUACACAAAAAUCCAAAACGCAAAAUUUAACAAAAAGAAGCUGGACAAGACAUUGUGUCAUGCGAUUUGAUAAUACAAACCCAACAUGGACUCUGUGGAUAUGUCAAUGUAUGUAUUCUCUAUUCCUUUUUCAGAAUCUUUACACAUAAGUAAACUUAUAUAAUUAAAACAUCUACAAACCACCAUUGGUCAGACUGCACAUUCCUGUUUCAUAAUUGCUUUUUUCUUUUGUUUACUAUACGAAAACGUUAUUUCAAUAAUUGUGGCACCGGUGAACCACAAUCACCUUUAUGCACGAACCAGUCUUGUCUUUGAUUGUAUAUAAUUUAAUUGAGUAGUUAUAUAAGUUUAUCAAAUUUAAGUAAUAAUAACGUACAUGUCGAUUAAUGUACGUAUAUGCAAACACUUCUUAAUUAAAAUAGGGGUAUAUAUAUGAUCGCGAAAGUAAUGAUUCAUGCACAUCUAACUUCGUUUAUACUACUUUUAUCAAAAGAUGUAAUAAUUAAAAUUUAAAAUCAUAUCUACAUACGAGUCUAUGACCUAAUGAUUCGACAGUUAUAGAAGCUCAUCGAUUAGAAUGUUACUUCGAAGUAAAGAGUGGUUUACAUAUAAUAUUCCUUGGUGCAUGAGUACUAAAAUAUGAUUUACUUAUACUUUAAUGCAUUUUUUUUGCUGGUUAAACUGAAAAAUUGUCUGACGAGGUUUUAAUGACGCAAAAAGUUGGUUUAAGGACACAACAAUACUUUGAUCCGUUUACAUCAUAUAUUUAAUUUCUUACUUUAGAAAAUUCAAAAUUAUGCUAGAAAAUAAAAAGAAGAACUUUGUGUUACCUGAGAGAGAAGGCAGAUCAAAGACUGCAUGUGGUUUCUGCUAACGGAGUCACCAACAAACGCCAUAGUUUUACCUCUCACGAUCUCAAGAAACCGAAUGGGGUCAAAAACAGGCAAGCCAUCUUCGCACCCGUAAGGUCUCCAUUUCCACUUGAAGAAAUCGGUGUCAGGUCUUCCAAACCUCAUGCAGUUUUGGUGUUCGUGUAUCGCCCAGCACGUCGUGUUCGUGUAGUAAGGUGCCUCGGGGUUAGGAACCCACUCUCCGGAGAAUAAGUCGCAGCCCUCGUGCGAUGCUACGACGGUGUCUUGGAGCUUGAUGAUGCUGUUUUGGCUUGGAGGCUGUUGCUUGAGUAAGAAGUUAGGGUCUUCAAGAAAAGGGUAGAGAAGAGGGAUGAUGGUGAGGAGAGCUGUGGCAAUGAUCACUACGAUGAGUAGCUUUUGUUUAGUUGGAAAUGUUGCAGAAUGAAGAAGCUCCAUUGCAAGGAAAGAUAGAUGAUCAGAGAGAGUGGAGAGAUUUCGAGAGAGAGAGAAAACAAUAGGAAAGGAUUAUAUCAGAGUUUGGGACUAAUUAAAUUUGUUUUAUAAGUUGUGCAAAAAGAUUUGUGAUACAACAAAAAGAGUCGGUAUCAAAUCUAAAUAAAGAGUUAUGAUUAUUGCAAAAAAAAGGCCAGCAGAAGAAAUUAAAGCAACCAAUCAAACAAUAAAUUCACAAGGGUGAUUGACUAUUCAGUAAUUUGGACGUUUUUUGUCGGCAAUUUGGACCUUAACAUGAGUUUUAAUUAUAAAUUACACAUGUAAUUAGCCUGUAGGUCGUUAUAUAUGUGUAAAUGUGUCACAAGAAGUUAUUAUAGUUUACUUGACUACUAUUAUUCUUGAGUAUAUCAUCAAGUUAGUAUGCUUUUUUGCCAACUGUUACAAACAAGUUAAAGUAAUGAUUAGGAGACGAACAUAUAUGAGUUUCUUCACCCAUGUACGUAGGUUCCUUUUAGCAACUUGUCUAUAGUAUUAUUAUUCAAAAGGUUUGGUAAGAAGAACAACUGUUUCAUUUGAUCUUAAACCAAAAUUUCGUGAAUCGAGUUAGUACUGUAUUUCAUAAACAAGUAAUACACUCAAAAGCAUAACCUAAAGCCUAUAUAACCAUAACGUUUAUAAAAUAUUUGUGGACACACAAGGCCAACAAUGUCGUUGUCGCUGACCUGAUCACUUGAGUUGCAACUAUCCCAGCCUCUCUGAUUCGGUUUCGGUUUGGUUUGGUUCGGGAAUGUUUAUUUCCGUUUUUGCAAAUGGGGUCACAGAGACAUCAAACAAGUGAACAGCAAUCAUCAAUCCAGUUCAUACAAGUAAUCUAAAAUAAACCACAAUCAUCAAAAUCCAAAUUUCAUCAUCGUCACGCAAACCUCAAUCAUUAUCAUUCAUCAACAUUGAUAGACUACAAGUCAUGACUUGGUACUCUCAUAGAGUCAUAGUCUCAUACUAAAUUACCAACACAAGUCAUAUGAUCCUAUUCCUAUAAUUAUUAAAACGUAUUUUCAGUUUUUAUAAGAGGGUGACACGUGGAUAGUCUACGUGGAAGCUACAACGCCACAAUCGUUUCUACAGUUGUGAUUGUGAAAGGUCUCUCCUUUUUGUUCUUUUUCUCCAAGAUCGCGAGUUCUUCUAGCUUUUCAGCUCUAAUUUUGUAAUCGCAAAUUUACCCAAGUUUCAAUUCAGUCUCAGGUCACGAUACGUUAACUACUCAGCGUUACUUAGGGUCAAUUGUAGGAUGUUGAGGUCUCUGAUUUGGAAACGAUCACAGGCAUCGUCUUCAGCCGUCACGAUGUCGUGAGUUCUUCUUCUUAAAUUUCUGUAGAAUGUUGAUUUCGAAUAAAGCAUUGAUCUUUAUUGAUGUUAGGUUGAUUUCUGUCGGAAAAAUAGCUUAGCAGAGACGGAUCAUUUCUCUAGGGGUUUCCAUUUUUGAGGCAUCGACACUCUGUUCCCAGUUGUUGAAUAGUGUGAUUUAUUCAUUCAGUCAUAGAUUUUUGUUUGCACAUACUGAUGAUGGUCUUGUCUUUAUCUCUUUAGCAGUUCAAUCACUCAGAGAGGAAAUGAAAGGCUUUUGUCUGAAGCCGCUGGUUCACAUUCAAGAGAUACUAAAGUAAUUGACCAUAACUUAUUUCACUGAUUUUGAGUUUGAUGAGACAUUGUGAUAAGAGACCUCUUCAAAUCCGAUUGCCACAUUAUAAAUUUUUGUUUAGUAUAGAAUUUGUUGAAACAAGAGUGUACAGUUAUCUUUAGUUAUGAGUUUGUUGUUGGAAAGUCUCCUGGCUUAUAUUUGAUAGCUCUCUAGUCUCUAUGAUUCAAUCUCUGUUUGUGUUUGUUUUUCAGUUGCAGUUACAGAUAUGUUUUGGUUGAGUCCUUUGCUUUUCUGGUUGGUCGACGUUUAUCAUUAGUGCAAUGCUAAUAAACUUGUUCACAAACUGUCUCUCUUUUUUUCUCUGAACCUAUCACAUUGUGUUGUCUUGAAUGCAGAUAUUGGUUUUGGGAGGAAAUGGUUACGUAGGUUCACAUAUAUGCAAGGAGGCACUGAGACAAGGUUUCUCUGUAUCUAGUCUUAGCAGGUAUUUCUGUUUUUUCCGGGUUUAAAUCUGACCUUUUGCUCAUAUACUGUCUUUUCAUAGCUUAAUGCCUUAAUGUUAGUCUUUUGCACUGUUAUUAGGUCUGGAAGAUCUUCUCUGCAUGGUUCAUGGGUCGAUGAUGUAACCUGGCAUCAAGGUAUUCUCAAGAUCUGAAUACAUAUUUCACUUUGCUCAUCAUUAUAAAACCAAUAGACUAGGAUAAAUGACUCGGUUUCUGUUUUCUACUAAAACAAUAGGCGAUUUGCUUUCACCCGAUUCUCUGAAACCUGCACUAGAAGGAAUUACAUCUGUGGUAAUUAAGAAAUCUCCUGGAAAUUUACUUCAUCAUAUGGUUCGUUUCAUUCGCAUCUCAUAUCGAACUUGUGCAGAUUUCAUGCGUUGGUGGUUUCGGUUCCAAUUCACAUAUGGUCAAGAUUAACGGGACUGCAAACAUUAAUGCUGUUAACGCUGCCGCAGAACAAGGUAAAUGUUCAUAGAUUGUGAUUAAUGUAAAGGCCUUCUUUGUUUGUAUGUGCAGAAAUGUAUAGAUUAUCUAUAUUUCUGUAUGUUCUUUUGCAAACUGACAAAAACAGAAGCUUGUUAUAUUAUGUCUAGGUGUGAAAAGAUUUGUGUAUAUAUCAGCUGCGGAUUUUGGUAUCAUAAAUAACUUGAUUCGAGGAUAUUUCGAAGGAAAGGUACUUAUUCUUACUCUUUGCCUUUUGGGCUUUUGUUCUUAGUUAUUACAUCUCGCUUUGAUCAUUUUAUGUAUAAAAAAUUGCAGAGGGCAACUGAAGCUGCAAUUUUGGAUAAAUUUGGAAACAGAGGUGUGUAAAUCUUCUCACUUUUAUGCUAAACUCCCUCGCUGUAUUAUGCGUGUUCAUUAUAUUCUUGACUGAAAACUUGGUUGUUUCUAUGGCUUCUUAGGAACGGUUUUAAGGCCAGGAUUCGUACAUGGGACUCGUCAGGUCGGUAGCAUAAAGCUGCCACUUAGUCUCAUUGGAGCUCCACUUGAAAUGGUAAAAGAAGAACUGCAUCAUCAAUCUUGGUUUGUUUUGAAAACAUAGAAGUGUGAAUCUUUUGUCUCAAAACGUUUUGAUCAUUUGCAGGUUUUGAAGCUGUUCCCAAAAGAGGUGACGAAACUUCCUCUGAUCGGGCCACUUUUAAUACCUCCGGUGAAUGUAAAGUCCGUUGCAGGAACUGCGGUAAAAGCUGCAGUCGAUCCCGAGUUCGCUUCUGGAAUCAUCGAUGUAUACGGGAUCCUUCAACACGGUCACUGAACGCGACACUGGCUUAACAAAGUUUUUCCUUAUUAUGGGUUUUAACUCUCUAAAUCAAAUGUAACAACCAUUGUCUCUAGUUUUUGCCACCAAAUAAAUUUUGAAACUGAAGCAGCUUAAAGCAAUAAUAGAGAUUCAUAUUUUUUUUCUUAGUGUCGUGCCAAAAACAAAUUAACAAUGUCAAGCAUCGAAUUAUAGAGGGAAAAAGUUUCGUUGCGAUAAUCUUCCAUUGCGAAGACUUGAAAGUUGAGUAAGUUUGGCCUUUUUUGAGCUGAUAAACCGGGUUUUAUCUAAUAACCGGACUGAACCAUAACCGCGUAUGAUGAUCCUUGACCCAACUAUAAUUUUAAAAGGAGGAGUCAAACCGGACUUAAAAAAAAGGUUUUAAAAAGGCAUAACCUAGAGGGAGUGUGAUUUUGCUUUGAUUGUCGUGCUUUUUGGUGGUUUCCCGGGUUUUCGCUUUUCACUUUCAGCUCUCCAAAUCGAAACAACCCGAAUAAUCGCAAUCCAAAGAGAGAGAGAGAGAGAGAGAGAGAGAGAGAGAGAGAGUCUAGGGUUUUAUUUCGUAUGGUGCAAUUGCGGACUGGAGAAACUUCGAUUUCGCCUAGGUUUCACUAUUUCUUCAGGUCAGUUCUUCUUUCGAUUGAGAAAAUUGAACUUUGUUUCAAUAUUUUGUCAGCGAAUCGAAUCGUGUAUUCUUCUUUUUGGGAUUCGUUUUUCUCAUUAGUGCCUUUAAUGUUUCGUCUCUGUCUUCUUUGUAAGUUGAUUUUGCUUAUAUUAUUGUUGUUCGUUUUGGUUUUACUGUUCAUUUGUCAGUCAUAGGGUUUGUGUGUUGGAGAGAAGAGAUAGUGUGAAGAAACUGGUGAUUGUUUUUUUAUUACAAGUUUCUGUUCAAUCAGAGUCUAGUUUUUUUUAUUCUUCAGUUUUGGUUUUAGGGUAUAGCUUUUGCAUCCCCCAGAUUCAAAGUUCUAAGCUUUUUCUAAGUUUCUAAUUUUCGAUGCUACAUUGUUUCCCCCAACCAGUUGUGCUUUUAUAUCUGUGGAUCUCUUAAGAAAGUUUUGAAACUUUUCAGGUUAACCUAGAUAAUAUCUCUGCCUGCUGAACAACAAUGUCUGAACGUCGUGCUAAGCGUCACAAAAUCUCCAGAGGGGAAGAUGACUUUUUGCCUGGGAAUAUUAUCGAAAUCGAGCUUCACAAUUUCAUGACGUUCAAUCACUUGGUAUGUAAACCGGGAUCACGCUUGAACCUUGUUAUUGGACCAAACGGAUCAGGUAAAAGUUCUCUUGUCUGUGCCAUUGCACUUUGUCUUGGUGGUGAGCCUCAGCUUCUUGGCCGAGCAACCAGUGUUGGUGCAUAUGUUAAGCGUGGGGAAGAUUCUGGCUACGUCAAGAUCUCUCUGAGAGGGAAGACGAGCGAGGAAAAUUUUACGGUUUCUCGUAAGAUUGAUACACGUAACAAGUCGGAGUGGAUGUUCAAUGGAAACACAGUUAGUAAGAGAGAGGUAGUUGAGAUCAUCCAGAAAUUUAACAUCCAAGUUAACAAUCUUACGCAAUUCCUGCCACAAGAUAGGGUUUGCGAGUUUGCUAAGUUAACGCCUGUUCAGCUUUUGGAGGAGACAGAAAAAGCUGUUGGUGAUCCUCAGUUGCCAGUCCAUCAUCGGGCGCUUGUUGACAAAAGCCGUGAACUGAAGCAGCUUGAGAGAGCUGUGGAGAAAAAUGGAGAGACGCUGAAUCAGCUUAAAGCCCUUGUUGAUGAGCAAGAGAAGGAUGUGGAACGUGUUAGGCAGAGAGAGUUGUUUUUGACUAAGGUUGAUUCUAUGAAGAAGAAAUUGCCAUGGCUUAAGUAUGAUAUGAAAAAGGCUGAGUACAUGGAUGCUAAGAAGAGAAUGAAGGAAGCCCAGAAAAAAUUGGAUGAAGCUGCAAGGAAUUUGAACAGCAUGAAGGAACCUAUUGAAAAGCAAAAGAGGGAGAAAGCAGAGAUAGAUUCAAAAUGCAAAAAGGCUAAGAAUCUCCUUGAUGCAAAUGGAAGAAACCGUGGUAACUUGCUUGAGAAAGAAGAUGAGGCAGAAGCACGUGUAGUGGCAACAUACAAAGAACUGGAGGAAUUGAAGAAACAAGAAGCACAUCGCAAAGACAGGAUUCUGAAAGCUACUGAGGAUCUGGUUGCUGCAGAACGAGAACUUCAAAAUCUGCCUGUAUAUGAACGUCCUGUAGCCAAACUUGAAGAACUGAGCACACAGAUUACAGACCUGCAUCAGAGCAUAAACCGGAAAAAGAAUGAGAAGGGUGAGAAUGAGACGGUUUUGUCUCAGAAGAGAGUCACCCUGAGGCAGUGCGUAGAUAAGUUGAAGGACAUGGAGAAUGCAAAUAACAAACUAUUGAAAGCACUAUGUAACUCUGGAGCUGAAAGGAUAUUUGACGCAUAUCAAUGGGUGCAACAGAAUCGUCAUGAGUUUAAAAAGGAAGUAUAUGGUCCCGUUUUGGUAGAGGUUAACGUUCCAAAUCGAGAGAAUGCUUGCUAUUUGGAGGGUCAUGUUCCUUAUUAUGUCUGGAAGUCUUUUAUCACUCAGGAUCCCGAAGACCGUGAUUUGCUGGUUAGAAAUCUAAAACGAUUUGAUGUUCCCGUUCUAAACUAUGUGGGCGAAGGCGGCAAUCAAAAGGCUACCUUUCAUAUUUCUGAUCAGAUGCGUUCUCUUGGGAUCCAGGCUCGGCUUGAUCAAAUAUUUGAUGCUCCUGACGCCAUCAAGGAGGUUUUAACUUCCCAGUUUGGUCUGGAUGACUCGUACAUUGGAUCGAAGAUUACUGAUCAGAGGGCUGAAGAAGUCUCCAAGCUGGGGGUAAAAGAUUUUUGGACACCGGACAAUCACUACCGGUGGUCUUCCUCAAGGUAUGGUGGUCAUACCUCUGCAAGUGUAGAUUCUGUAUAUCCAUCGCGUCUUCUAUUAUGUGGGGUAGACGUUGGAGAGCUUGAGAAACUGAGAUCAAGAAAGGAGGAGUUAGAAGACGCUAUUUCAUUCAUUGAGGAAACUAGCAAGAGUCUUCAAACAGAGCAAAGACUUUUGGAAGAAGAAGCAGCUAAACUUCAUAAAGAGAGGGAGGAGAUAGUUAAUGUUUCGAAUCUGGAGAAGAAAAAACGCCGUGAUUUGGAAACCCGUUUCCAGCAAAGGAAGAUGAGGCUAGAAUCCUUGGAGCAAGAGGAGGACAUGGAUGCUUCAGUUGCUAAGCUGAUUGAUCAGGCUUCCAGAGCUAAUGGUGACCGCUAUACAUAUGCGAUAAAUCUCAAGAAAUUGCUUGUGGAGGCUGUUGCUUAUAGGUGGAGUUACGCGGAGAAGCAUAUGGCUUCUAUUGAACUGGAAAGAAAGAUCAGAGAGUCAGAAAUCAAUAUCAAACAAUAUGAGAAAACAGCACAGCAGCUAUCUGUCAGCGUUGAGUAUUGUAAGAAAGAGGUAGAAGGAAAGCAGGUGCAGCUAGCAGCUGCCAAGAGGAAUGCAGAAUCUAUUGCAGCCAUCACACCUGAGCUUAAAAAGGAGUUUAUGGAAAUGCCUACCACAAUCGAAGAACUGGAAGCGGCUAUACAAGACAAUAUGUCUCAAGCUAAUUCGAUCCUUUUCGUAAACGAGAACAUACUCCAAGAGUAUGAAUAUCGCCAAAAACAGAUAGAUAUUAUCUCUACAAAGCUCGAAGCUGAUAAAAGAGAUCUGGGCAUAUGCUUGAAAGAUAUCGAUUCGCUAAAGGAGAAAUGGCUUCCAACAUUGAGACAGCUUGUUGCUCAGAUAAAUGAAACUUUCAGCCACAACUUUCAGGAAAUGGCUGUUGCAGGAGAAGUAUCACUGGAUGAGCGUGACACUGACUUUGACCAAUAUGGAAUACAUAUCAAAGUGAAAUUCAGGGAGUCAGGGCAACUACAGGUUCUAAGUUCUCACCACCAAUCUGGGGGAGAACGUUCUGUCUCGACUAUCCUUUACCUCGUCUCUCUUCAAGAUCUGACAAACUGUCCUUUUAGGGUCGUUGAUGAGAUUAAUCAAGGUAAAAAAUUGUGAUGCUGUUAUUUUUUUAAAAACUGUGACGAAACAGCAAUCAAAUUUCUAAAAUACGUGAUUACUUCUGUAGGUAUGGAUCCUAUAAACGAAAGGAAGAUGUUUCAACAGUUGGUUAGAGCUGCUAGCCAACCAAACACUCCACAGUAAGUUGUCCUUUCUCAAUAACCUUGGAAAUUGCUCUCAAGUUUUGAAAAUUUCUGUGAGAAAAGUAAGAGACAAUGUGUGGUCUUUUUUCUUGUAGGUGCUUCUUACUGACACCAAAGCUCCUGCCAGAGCUAGAAUACAGUGAAGCCUGUAGCAUUCUGAACAUCAUGAAUGGUCCUUGGAUCGUGCAGCCUUCAAAAGUUUGGAGCUUUGGUGAUAGUUGGGGCAGUCUCAUGAGACGAACCGAAGCUAGUCAAUGUUCUUAACAUCAUCAUCUCUAAUAUAUUUUGGGUUUAUGGAAAAACAAGUGUAUUUAAGUAGGAUUCGUAUUAAACCAGCCGGUCUGACCAGUUUGAAUCUGAACCGAAUUCGUGUCAUUUUUUUUUUUUUUUCAUUUUCUCUGGAAAAGGUAAAAAAGCUCCAUUUUCUGAAACAUGUUUUUCUGAUAUAUUUCUAUGGAACGUGAUAAAAUACGCGUGUGAGUGGAUCGAUGUGAUCUCCAACGUCUCCUUUUCUCUUUUCCGAGUUCCUUCCUUUUAAGUCAUCUUCCAUUUCAUCGCUCCAUUGUUCUUCUGAUUUCAAUUUUGCUGGGAAAUUCAAAGUAAGCUUCUCCUUGAUCGCCUUUGUUUAUUUCAGAAAGUUAAGGUUUUGGAUACGACCCUCUUGAUCUGACGCCGGAAUGUUGGUGGGUUUCGAAUUUUCUCCGACAAAGCUUUCACUUUUUAUUUCCUGAUUGUUAUUGUCUUCCGGCGUUUUUAAAUCAGUAGAAAGAACUGAUUCCCUUUGAGUAGUUAGCUCUUCUUCAGCAUUUUCCUGCUGUUUGCGUUUUUGGUGCUGCACUUUGUAUAUAUCACCAUGGAUCGAAUUCUAUCUGCAAAGCCCUUGAAUUGUUUGCUGAUUGCGUUUAUCUGCGAAUGCCCUUUAAAGUCAUAUAGUGAUUAAAGCUCCAGGAUCUUAGAUGAUGAUCUGAGUUUGAAGAAAGCUUUUAGGUCUCAUUCAAUAGUUGAUGACAAUGUUGGGGAUAUUAAGAGUAUGUUGGUCCUUUUCAGGUUCGUUAAAUGGAGAGAAAAGGAAUAGAUGACAGUGAAACAGGACCAGUCCCUCCGCUUGUACCGGUUGAUAGGUUUGGGUUUCUGAAGCAGGAACAUGGCAAUUCUUCUCCUCAUCGUUUUACCAAGACCAGAUCAUCUAGUAACUAUGACAAGUAUGUCUUAUUGAAAAAUAUCUUCUUCUUGUUUUUGAGAAUCAGUUAUUUGACCAUGGAUGCUAAAUUCUUUAGGGAGGAGAGAAGAGUGACGAAAUGGAGGAAAAUGAUUGGAACUGGGGGUAGUGAUUGGAAGCAAUAUGUUAGGAGGAAACCUCAUGUUGUCAAGAGGCGAAUUCGAAAAGGGAUCCCUGAUUGCUUAAGGGGUCUCGUCUGGCAAUUGAUCUCUGGAAGUCGAGACCUUUUGCUUAUGAAUCCCGGUGUUUAUGUGGUACUCAUAAUCUCCUUGUGUGUCUUUGAUACGUUUUGUUUCAUUUGGCUUCAUUGCUGGAAAAAAAAAACUGAUAAUACUCUUGAUUUCAUUAUAGCAACUGGUAAUUUACGAGACAUCAGCAUCAGAACUCGAUAUCAUUAGGGAUAUCUCCCGUACUUUCCCAUCACAUGUUUUCUUCCAGAAGAGACAUGGACCAGGCCAAAGAUCAUUAUACAAUGUUCUAAAAGCAUACUCUGUAUAUGACAGAGAUGUCGGAUAUGUUCAGGUCUUUCCAGAAACUUUUUCAUUUCCUCUUUUGUUUCCCCGCGAUUGUAAUAAAGACUCAUGAUUUUAAACACAAUUUGCAGGGAAUGGGUUUCGUAGCAGGUUUGUUGCUUCUCUAUAUGAGCGAAGAAGAUGCCUUUUGGUUGUUAGUUGCAUUACUCAAAGGAGCUGUUCACUCCCCAAUGGAAGGAUUGUAUCAGGUGAGGGUUUCUACUCUAGAAGAUACCUAUAUUGUAGCUACUUGCCUCUUGAAUUACGGUAGUUUGAAAACGAUAGAGUUAGAUAAAUAAAUAGAAUCAUUUCUUUCAUGAAUUUAUUAGUUUAUGACUGCUUUUUCAAAUUAUCUGUCAAAUCCUGUAGAGACAUUUUAUUCUUCUGUCCUGAUUAGAGUCUUCAGUAUUAGCGGUUCGUUCUCUGUAAAGUUUCUCACUGAAGUUAUGAUUGUGUUUAACUCUUUGGAACAUUAUACUUGAAAACAGAAUUUCAAUUCCUCAGCUGAUUCGAAUUAUGUAAAAUGUAUUUGAUUUGUGUAAAUGUAGGCAGGGCUUCCUCUUGUACAGCAGUAUCUAUUACAGUUUGACCAGUUGUUAAGGGAGCUAAUGCCGAAACUAGGAGAACAUUUCACUCAAGAAAUGAUCAAUCCGAGUAUGUAUGCAAGUCAAUGGUUCAUAACUGUCUUUUCAUAUUCAGUUCCUUUCCCUUCAGCUCUACGAAUUUGGGAUGUGUUUCUAGCCGAGGUAAUUCAAAGUCAACGUCUUACAAUCUCAAAAGUCUCUUUCUUUUGUAUGUAAUAUCUUUGUUUUCUUAUCUUUUGUUUGUCGGUAUAGGGUGUUAACAUUGUGUUCAAAGUUGGUUUAGCAUUGUUGAAGUACUGCCAUGAUGAUUUGUUGAAAUUGCCGUUUGAGGAACUCAUGCAUGCUCUGAGGAAUUUCCCUGAAGAUGCCAUGGAUCCUGAUACUUUGCUUCCACUGGCUUAUUCCAUAAAGGUUCUUCUCUCUUUCCUACUCAAAGACUACGAUGCUCGUCUCCUUUAGAUACUUGAAACUGAAGCUCUGUGUCACUGUCUGUUUUUGUUAUGGAUCUCCUCCAGGUAUCAAAGCGUUUGGAAGAAAUGAAUCAGGAUAGUGAGAGAGCCGUAGCUAAACCAGCCAACCCGGUUCAACUAUAGGGUUUGAUAUUCUUGAGCCGAAUCAAACCAAGACCGUAUUCACGAAGAUUCUUCUCCAUUCUUUUCCAUAUUUUUGUGCAAAUUUUAUCUUUCUCUCAUUCUUGUUUACAACUCAUGUGUGACAACAAUAGCAGUUUUAUAUUCUCCAUUCAGCCAUUCUUUUUGGAAAAAAAAAAAAGUCAAAUUUCAAUAGAAAACUCAUGCUUCAAUAUAUAGAAUCAAAUCCAUUGCAUAUCUGUAAUAACUCUUUUUCUUUGACAAAAUGUAUAUAUCUACGUCUGUUCACAUGUGUAACUUUGUUGUGAUGAUGGUGAUUUAGAAUUCAAAUCCAAAUCCUUAGUCUUUCUCCCUUUUAACUCCAGUCUGGUUGAUUUGAUCGAGGCGAAGGUAACGUUAGCGUCAAGCACAAACCUUUUGAUUUAUUUAACUCUUAAAUAAAUGCAGCAACACUUUCACUCCAAAUCAUUUCUUCCUUCAAAGUUCCGAGGGUUUUGAUUCAAGUCUUUGCUGCAGUUUCCUGACUCGUUUUGGAUCUCGGGUAAAUUUUGUCUGAAGUAUAUGUAUCCAUUGAUGAUAAAUGCUCAUUUGGAUUCUGACAUUAAAUUUUCAGUAGAUGAUGAAAGAGGUAAAGGAGGCUUUUCGUUUUGUAUGUUCAUCUGAGUUGUGGAGGAUGGCUCUUGUUUGGAGUAUCAGUCUUGUUUCUUCUUACUUUCAAUUGCUUAGAGCAAAGAUCUUUGGCUCAAGAUCUAUUCCCAUUUCUUGCUCCAUCAAUCCACAUAAUGUAUCUUCGAGACCCAUUUGUGUUAUCACUGGUGUAAGUGAAGUACUAUGUUUACUUGCAAUUUGCUUUACCUAUUCUUGUUACAUCAAAACUUCAACACUUGUGUCAUCACUGGUUGUACUGUAAAGUAAUUCCUCCAGUUUUAGUUUUAGACUUGUUUUGGUGUUUCAUUUGGUGUCUAUGGAAUUUGAUUUCAGGCUACUUCUGGGAUUGGUAAGGCCACUGCAGUUGCUCUUGCAGAGAAGGGUUUCUACGUUGUUCUUGGUAAAAAUUAAUCUAUGAUGCAUUGCUUCCGGAAGUGCUAAUGUAUCAGUAUUGGAUAAUGUAGUUUCCCAUCACAAAGAUAGACAUUAGAAUGUCACACUGGUUUCAUCAAACUUACCAUAUUCUUCAUUUCAGUCCUCACUAGACUAAUGCCAUGAAUCUUUCUUGAUUUUUUUUUUCAGUUGGACGGUCCUCUCAGCAUCUUUCAGAGGUUCUUUCUUACUAUCCUUUUGUUUUAGCUUUGUCGAAGUAAGUAUGUUUUUUUCUUAGAUACAAAAUACCUUUUCUUGGCUUAUGAUGACAGACACUGAAGGAAAUCAAGAGCAAGAACAAAGAUGCGCAACUCAAAUCUUUCGAAGCCGACAUGUCUUCUUUUCAAUCAAUCUUGAAGUUUAAAAACUCUCUAGAGCAAUGGCUCUCAGACUCAGAGUUACAUCCUUCGAUUCAGCUUUUAGUGAACAAUGCUGGGAUACUAGCAACUUCAAGUCGCCCAACCAUUGAAGGUUAUGAUAAGUAAGUCUGGUUUUGAGAAGACGCACUUAUGUUUCAGUUUUUAUUAAAUUAGCGCAUGCAUAUGUAUUGGACUAUGGAUUUGAUAUUUUAAAACUGUUUUUUUUUUUUGUUUGAAUUGUCAGGAUGAUUGCUACAAACUAUAUUGGUCCAUUCUGUUUGACAAAGCUUCUUUUGCCACUUCUGAGAAAGAGCAAUGUUCCUUCACGGGUCGUGAACGUUACAUCAUUCACACAUCGUUCAGGUAAACCAACAGUAAGAUAAUAUACUUUUAACAAAAAACUUGAAAGAUUAGCUUAAGUGACCUGACAUGUAUUUGUUUUCUCUGUAGCUUCUCUUCACAAGUUUGACAGGGAUUCUGUUACUGGAGCGUGUUAUUCGACAUCAAACCAGUAUCCUUGUGCUCAAAUCUAUGAGUAUUCUAAAUGUAAGCCAAAACCUCUCACAAAAGCAUAAACAUAGUUUCCUUCUUCCUUUUAUGAUCGAGAAACUGAAUUUUGGCUUAAUGUUGGUUGAAUAGUAUGUCUUCUACUUUUCUCAUAUGAACUGCACAGACAGCUUCGGAUCAUAGACGACUCAAACCAUGUCUCUGUAAUGUACGCAUCAUAAUACUCGUUGCUCUCUAAACUUUAUUCUCAUUCUGUAACGAGUUGUGUUUUUUGACUUUGUGGGAUGUUGCCUUGUUGAAUGCAGAGCUGCUGAUCCAGGAUUUGUGAAAACAAAUAUAAUGCGUGAGCUUCCUUCUUGCAUAACUUCCAUGGCGUUUCUUGGCUUCAGAAUUAUUGGCAUCCUGCAGUCACCAGAUGCUGGAGCUGAAUCUAUCAUCGAUGCCGCUUUAUCCGCACCUGUAAAGAAAAGUUUCCCAUCUUAAAAAAAGCUAUUUUGUGAAAACUUAUAUGAAAAUGGAUGAAUGUUGAUCUUUGAUCUGCAUUACAUGACAUACUCAGAAGAAAAAACAUUUGCAUGUGUUGUUCAUUUUGCAGGAGAGAUCAGGUAGUUACUAUUUUGGAGGAAAAGGAAAGACGAUAGAAUCAUCAAAAGUUUCUAAAAGUACAAAGCUUGCAAAACAACUGUGGGAUACGAGUUGUGAUCUGUUCAGUGAGUUGCAGCUGCUUCAGUCACAAACAACACAAGUUAUGCAAGAGACCAAAAAUCCUGUAUAGAUUCUUCUAAUCCUCUAUAGUAAUGGCUUCCUAUAUUGUAUUUGUUGUUAAAUAAAAUGGUGAUGAUUCUCUCAUAGUUGUGAAUUCUAGUGACUCUCAAAAGUCAAACGAUUAGAUGAGAUAUACCUUGUGAUUUUGUGUCAUAUUGCAAAUCAUAUUCUUGUAAAUGAAUAUUACAACCGAAUCAUUUCUUUGAUUUGUAAAGUGAUGGAAAAUGUUUAGUUUGCACUUUGCCACAUUACUUUUGUAAUUAUUUUAGGUUAACUAAAUCUGGGUGACUAAUCUGUGUUUUUAUAAUUUGAAAAAGUGGUAUAUCAUUGAGUGGUGGUUACUUUUUUCCGCAAUGAGACAAAAACGGAUAGUUGUUUAUGCAGAGUGGUAUAUCAUUGAGUGGACAUCCUUGAUAAAUCUCAACAGCUUGUGCUUCUUUUGAAGAGUGUUUCUUGCUUCUUUUAGACUAGUAUGUUUUAGUAAGGUUUAAACCUAGUUGUUUAUGCUUUCUCUUAAGUGUUCGUCCUCUUUCGUUUUAGGUUCGAGUUUGUCCGUUUUGUAUUUUAUGGUUUUCGUUUCUCUUUGAUAGGGCUUUAACUCCGGAGAAAUCACGUUUUCUGCCGGCUUUGACUCCGAAAACUUUUAUUUCGUCCGUCGGCUUUAGCUUCUCUUGUUUGAACUUUGUGAUUUAUUUUGCUGUGAAAACUAUCAAUAAAAUUUCAGUUGACAAAAAAAAAAAAACAAAAACGGAUAGAGAGAGUCACGGGGAAAUGCUGAUAGGGUCAUUUUGGUGAAUUUGGCAUAUAAAAGACUUAAAAAGGAAAGAGAGAAAAAGAGAAUUUGAUUCUCUGGGGCCCACCCAAACAUUUAAAGCAAGGGUGAUCACGCACUUCUCUCUUCUGCCCUGUCUUGUCUCUUUCUUGUGAGUAUCGAAACUCUGAAACGUGUCGUUUUAGACCUUACACGUGUUUCUUUAUCAUUGGUUACAGUAUUUUUGUGGCUUAGCCUAUCUCGGGGAUCUAACCGUAGUUAUUAUUAUUAUUAAUCUCUUAAAAUACGAUUUGAGGAAAAGAGGAAUCAAAUUCUUUAAAUAAAAACGACGAGAUUAUUCAUAUUUAUGGCUGUUAUCUUUUUCGUGGUCAGAAAUGAUCGUGAGUAUCAAAAUCCU
rnacentral:lncRNA from 1 species